UCCUUUUCGUUAUCUUCAUGUAAAGGCCAAUGGUGGAUGAUGGAUCCCAUCCCAUGCAUCACAUGGAUGACUAAUGAACUUUUAUAAUCUCGACUGAUCGAUAUCGUCUUAUCAUUAUCUAAGCAGUUUAGUUUUCAAACAUGAUUACGUAAUAAACAAUAUCCUUUUAUCUUGGGUAAAGUCUAAAGCCAGAAAUAGUUUAUUCAGCUGCUACCUAACUUUAAUUUUAUAUAUGCAAUUGUUAACCAUUGCCAUUAUUCUUCAUGUUUUAUACGAUUUUCUAAAUUAUUCAAAAUUACAAGAAGAAGAAUUCUAAGUACAAAAAAAAUGAAUAUAUAGUUCUAACAAACUAGCUUAUAACUCACAUAUACGUUACAACUCCUGGAUGGUUUUGUUCAGCUAACGCUUACUUUUUUACAAACUAAUCUUUCUUUCUCUAUGCUCUUACUCUAUCUGGAAAUACUUGAUCCAAAUAAUUGAUUAGAAGCAGCUAAUUAAUUGGUUGCCGAAUCAGAUUACUCAUAUGCAAGAACUUAAAUGGUAGAUAUUUUGACAGGCCAUGAGGGGAACUGAUGGGAACACCAUACAUAUUCAAACAAAUGAUAUUACUGAGUCAUGACCCACUUCGAACAGAAUUUGGUUGCUUAAUUUGUCAAAUAUGUGAUGACCUGUGCUUCAUUACAAAAUUCAAGACGUGAUGUUUAUAGGCUACAUUCAAUAUACGAUCGAGAAAUAAUUCACAAACGCGAACUGGUUCUGCUUGGAGUGACCCUCAAGGUGUCUCCACCAGAAUGGACUUUAUAACUACGUUAAAUAAUUUGGUCUCUUGGAAUUUUGGUUAAUUUGAUUGAGUACGAUCUCCAUCAAAGACUCUUCUUCAAGACUUUAGACACCCUGGUGGCUGGUGCUCAGAGUUCAACCACGUACGUCAAAACAAAAGAAAAAAAAAUGAUUUGGAAACAUUUGAAAGAAAUAAAAAUCACUAUAUACGUUGCCCAAUUAGUGAGAUUCGUAAAUAUACUCAAGAAGGCAAUUAAUUAGAAAACCUGAUUUUAAACAAGUAGUUACGAUAUCAUUAUUAUUUGAAAUUAAUUUUCAUUUUUAGGUGAGUUUUUGCUCACCUCUUAAUUAUGGUGUAGCGUUUCUUUUCUUUGUGUUUUUCUUAUGACAAAAACGGACUUCUUUUUGCCCUCCAAUUUAAUUGUUAAUCGCUAUAAAAGUAGUUUGCAUUCCAAGUUAAUGUGACAUCUGUUUCUCUCUCACUUUUCUCUUUAUUUCUCAAGACAAACAAGAUACUAACAAUGAGCAUAUAUUGUCCUAAUUGCCUCCUCCUAGUCCUCACCGCCUUGUUGUAUCUUUUCGUUGCUAUCACCGCGUUUGGAGUAGGAGGAGGAGAAGAGCACCUUUACCCUCCCAAGUACCCUCCUCUAAGGGGUGGGUAUUUCCCCUUUGACAACCUGAACGACCCACGUUUGAGGGAGAUCGCAGAGUUCGCCAUUUCCAAGUACAACAAGAUUCAUGACCAAAAACUAGUGUUGCAAAAGUUGGUUCAUGGACAGUUCCAAAUAGUGGAGGGAACCAAUUACAAGCUUGUCAUUUCGGUUCUCAAUUCUUCCAAGAUCUUUAGCGGCCCAAUCAACUAUGAGAUCAUUGUGUUCGAAAAUCUUUGGAGGACUAUUAAGGAACUGAAGUCCUUUGUUCGAGUCCAAAUUAAUAAAACUUAAAUCCAGUCCACCUUAUUUUUAAGGUUUCUGGAGUCCUUUCUCAUUUCUUUCUUAUAUUUUUUAGAGCAUUAUCAACUAAUAAUAUAUAAGUUACUUUCACAUGAUGCAUUAUGAGUUCGAUUUUUUGUGUUAGUUAAUCAUGCGAAGGUGGCCAAAGAGAGGCUAAAAUGUCUUUGUGAGUCUUCCCGACUUCCGAAAUGAAUGAUUACCGUGGUGAAGCCACCAACUAGUCCUCUUUUUCUAAAUAAAAAAACAACAUAAUACAAACACAGUUUGGAAACAACUCAAUUUCAUUACUUUUCUCAUAUUCUCCUUUACUCACUCUUUUUUGUUCGAUGGCAAAUAAUUUUAUCGUUUGUGAAAUAACCAACAAAACGAUAUAAGAACAUGAAAAAAUUAAACUAAUUAACAAUCUCGCAUGUAAAAAAGUAAAUUUUUUUUGGGGGUAAAGACCGUGAAGUGUCUGCACACCCGAAAAGUGUGACCAAUAUCUACUCAAGGUUUGGCUUGACACUGGCCACAAAGUGCUUUCGUAAAAUUUCUGGCAAAUAUAAAAAACGACACGUAGUUUUCUUUUUGUUCAUGUUUGUUUCGUCCAUAUAAUUUGGUGAAGCUUUUGACGUCAAAAAGAGGAAGGGCUAAAUUUUAGUAGAUGAUGCAAAAAAGGAUAGUGACAUUGAUCCAUAAGAAGCUCAACAAACUCUUGAAAUACCGGAAGCUAAUUUGAGGAAAGCUAAAGGCAGGAGACAAACAAUUGAAGUUAAUUUGUUAAACCCUCCGUGCCUUUCCUUUUUAGUCAUUAAAACCCACAAAACAAAAGAAAUAAUAUCAUUUUUGUUGUAGGCCUAUUUGAUUGAAAGAUUUAAGGUUUAGAGAGAGAGAUAGGGGUUCGGCAAUAUUGAGAGAGAAGAGAGAUUGAUUUAAUUGUGAGGUGUGUUUGAUUCACCCCAUUGUGCCUUUAUUUAUAGUAGUAGGAAGGGUAAAACCUUUCCCUUUAGAAUUACAAUAUUUAAUAGAUAAUCUAAUCUUAAUAGGAAUAUAAGAUAUUUUCCCAUAUUCCCUAGGAUUUACACAAUCACAUUCCUAUUCUAAAUAUGACUGCAACACUCCCCCUUAAGUGUGUAAAUACUCAACAAAUCAUCCCAUCAGAUCUUCAGCAGAUAAGGUAGAAUAGUUGAUGAAGUCAUCGGCACAACGGGUGAUCGCGAGUCUCAAAUUUAAGUGAAGUAUGCAUUUGUAGUAAAACUCACAAAACCUCGUUAUGGUAAAACCCAAUGCAUGGGGAAAACCCAUAGACUAAGGAGAAGAGUGAGAAGUAUGAUCAUCCCAUGAUGGGUGCCUCAUUAAAACCUCGUUAGGUAGCAAAACCCAGUGGAAAAAAUGCUUCUAAUCGUAGGGAAAAUAGUACAGUAAGAUCAUGUGAGUAUGCUUCUAGAUACUCUCCUUAAGUUAGACAUAACUUCUAAAUAAGAGAACUACAAACGAUGCAACUUAGAUAAUUUACGCAUAUCGAUUCCUUGGAUGGGUUUCUGAAAUGUAGACUUGGGCAAUAACUUGGUAAAGAGAUCGGCCAGGUUGUCCUGGGAACGGAUUUGCUUGACUUCAAUGUUCUGAUGUUGUUGUUGCUGGUGUGAUUAAAAGAACUUUCAUAAUAUGUGCUUGGUGUUGUCUCUUUUGAUGUAUCCCUUCUUCAGCUGCUCGAUACAUGCUGCAUUGUCUUCAAAGAUCAUCGUAGGAAGGUCAACGACUGAUGUAAGACCACUAGUGCUUCGAAUAUGUUCCAUAACUUCUCUUAGCCAAAAGCACUCACGCGAUGCUUCAUGUAGGGCGAGAAUCUCAGCAUGGUUAGACGAAGUCGCAACUUGCGUUUUCUUGGUAGACUUCCAAGAUAUAGCGGUGUCUCCAACGGUAAAGACAUAACCUGUUGAGAACGUGCUAUAUGUGGGUUAAACAGAUAUCCAGCAUCUGCAUAACCAACAAGGCGAGAAUCAUUCCGAGGGCCAUAGAGGGCGACAACACUUGGAGAUUAGCGAGUAUAGAACAAACCCAAAUUCGUAGUACCUUUGAGGUAGCGAAAAAUGUCUUUAACACCAUUCCAGUGCCUGCAUUUGGGUGCAUUGUUGUAUCUAGCCAAUAGAUUCACAGAGAAUGAGAUGUCAGCUCUAAUGCAUUGAGUCAAGUACAAUAAAGCCCCAAUUGCACUUAAGUGAGGAACUUCGGGUUCCAAAAUCUCUUCCUCAUCCUCCUUUGGACUGAAGGGAUCUCGUUUAGCAUCUAGAGUUUGAACAACCAUACGUGUACUCGAAGGCUUCGCUUUAUCUUCAUUAAAACGUCAUAACACCUUUUGGGUGUAGUUCGAUUGAUGUACUAGGAUUCCAUCCGAACAAUGCUCGAUUUCCAGGCCGAGGCAAUAUCGAGUUUUCUAAGAUCCUUUACCUCAAAUUCUGAUUUCAAGUGUGUAGCAAUUUCCUCAAUCUCUGCGGCAGUCCCAAUGUGGUUCAUGUCAUCGACAUAAACUGCAAUGAUUGCAAAUCCGGAAUCUUGAAAAGCUGCAAUCUGCCUCGAUUGUCAUCCACCAUUCUUGUUUUAAAAAUUAAAUUAAAUCAGAAAUUAACAUUUUGUAAAUUUCAAGAAAUUUUAUUCUGUUGAUGCACAAAAUCAGCGAAGACUUUGGUACAACAGAAAGUGUCAGGUUUUGUGACCUUCGCUUGGUUGCUUCGGUCACUAGUGAGGAUAAGUACGUAAAUGAAUAGAGACAGAGAAGCAAACACAGGAUGUACGUGGUUCACCCAGAUUGGCUACGUCCACGGAGUAGAGGAGUUCUUAUUAGUAGUGAAGGGCUUACACAAGUACAAAGGAUCAAGCUCUCAAUUUAGUGAGUUCUUGUGAAUGAUUUAACACAAAAUGGCAUUAGGCAAUAUUGUGGGGGAAUGACCCCUAUUUAUAGAAAAACUUGUAGCUUUGUCACAUUGACAUGUGUCAUGUUAUGAUUGGUUCUUGAUGUCGACACGUGCUGCGCUCUGAUUGGCUUCUAAUCUUGACACGUGUCGAGUAGUGAUUGGCCUCCUGGUCGGAGGGGAACUCUUCUGGGUCCUUGACAGUAUAGCGUUGGCCGGUGCUCGGUAGUUUCGGGAUUGGUCAAGUAUGGUACAAACAGUGCUCCCCUAAGUUCCCGAGUGAGGGAAACUCCUCGGUUGGGGACUUGCAAGAUCCAAUCCCUUGAGUAAUCACGAAACUUCUAAGUACCGAAGUGUGGUCUGAUCUUCAUCUGCCCUUCUCUGGAAGUACCUUUCCUCCAUCCGGGAAUGGUGUACUUUAGCUGAUGUUGACGCACAAGGUAAUGUAUCAAUUUCACUUGAAGCUUAGUUGUAGUUUCGGGCUUAGUCAAGUGUGAUACAAACCCUAUAGUAGGAGUCCCCCAAGUCGCCGAGCUAGGAGAUCUGCCGAAAGAGGUGACAGACAAGGUAAGCAGUCAAACUUCCAAGUAAGCAACCCAGGAUCAGAGGUUUGACUUCGGCUUCCGGUUGAUUGUUCUCCUUCUCCUUGUCUCUCAUUCAACUGCCAGGAUAAGGAGAAGCAAAUGGAUAAGAGAUGAUAUGAGAUACUUUUGCUUUUGAAGAAGUAACUUUCCACAGGCUUAUUCUUGAACUGUGCUGGAGGGUUUUCUGGUGCCCUUCAGAGUAUAAGGCCGACUCAAAAAUUUGAGGGUCAAAACAAGUCCAUCAAAUCUAGAGUACGUUCGACCUUGAUGAUAUGGGAUACUUUUGCUGUUGACGGAAUAAUGAAUGUGGUAUGGAAAGGUGUCGUGCUGUAGUGAUCUGUUUCAGCUCACCGUUGAACCUUCUGCUUCAAUCUUUUGCAUGGCAGAAGUGGUGUGCAACCUUUGCAUUUAAAUGGUCCUUCAGAACAUUCCUUCAUAGUGACUCAUCCACGCUUGGCAGCUUCAGUGUAAAGAGCCAAUAUCUGAUCAACUGUCAUGAGGUAUUUGCCGGUGGAAUUCGUGACCUUGACAGCAGUUGAGGAUGAGUACUCGAGAGCAAUGCUAAGUAAGCAACCAGGCAAAGGCUCCAGGCAGUCAGUUCCAAAUUGGAGGUUUGAUUUCAGGUUCCGACUGACUGCUCUCUUUCUCCUUGUCCUGCAGGUGUGGACAAGGACAAAGACAAAGACAGGGAGAAAGCAUGAUAUGGGAUACUCUUGCUUUCGACCCUGAUGAUAUGAGAUACUCUUGUUCUUGGUGUGGCUUAUUUGCUGAGGUAUUAUCGGGGGGAAAUAAAGCUGAGUAUUUCGAGAGGUUAUGUUGAGGGUGCCUUUUCGAAUGCGAGAAAGGGUUGAGCAUUUUUGCAGGUUUGCCUGUCCGUUGAGGAGGGAGGUCAAUGUAUAUAGGGAUUUCCCAAUAACAAGUAGUAAUGCUAUUCCUUUACCCUUCUUGGUCACAGCAAUGUAGUGGGAGCUGCCAGCUUCACGUGUUUUAAUUUUGUCAGAGCACUUUGAAAAAGUGGUAUGUGGUAUCUGGAAAGCUGAUAUUACGUGUGAAGAUUACAGACAAGCUUUAUCUAAGGAAAUCUGGCUCUCGAAGUUCUGAGAGUUGUGCCUCUUCGGUUUUCGAACAAGCAAUCCCGUCGAGGAUCUGACUCUCGAGAUUCGGAAAGCGGUGCUACUCCGGUUUUUGAGAAAGUAAUUAUGUUGGGAGUCUUUUCUCUCGAAUGUGAGUAAAGGUUGGACGUUCUUGCCAACCUGUCUUGCCGCAAAACACGGAGGUCGACACACAUAGGGACUUUCCAGUUGUCAAGCAGUGGUGCUGUUCCUUUACCCUUAUGGGUAAUAGUAGGGUAGCUGGAACUUCGAAAUUCUCGUGCCUAAACUUUGUCAGAGAUCUUUGACAAAGUUAUAUGUGGUACCCGAGGAGUUGAUGGUGCAUAUGGAGAGCGGUGAUUGAACAGUAAGAUUCACGUGCUUUCUACUUCACCAGAAAUCUUCGACAGAUUGCCCGUAAUUUCCGCAAAGCUGAUUGUGCAUGUGACAGGUGCUGACGAGGCUGAAAAAGCAGGUGCUUCUUCGAUUUCUGAGAUCGGCCCUCGUGGUCUCUGAGCAGCCCAGCUUUUGAGAAAGCAAACGCCUCUUCGAUUUCUGAGAUCGGCCCUCGUGGUCUCUGAGCAGCCCAGCUUUUGAGAAAGCAAACGCCUCUUCGAUUUCUGAAGCUCCGUCGAGUGCAGAUUUUUAUAGAGGCUGGCAUUAAGUUCCACAGCACACUUGAAUCUCUACCAGUAGAAGCUCAUUUCUUGCACUUCUAAGAUCUUGAUUUGUCUGACCUCUUCCUUCUUCAACACAUUUGAAAAUGUCUGGACCCUCCGACCGUCGUUUUGACUUGAACCUUGGAGAAGAGACAGCCACGCCUUCUCCAGACAACAUAUGGCGCCCAUCCUUCAUAUCCCCUACUGGUCCUCUUACCGUUGGGGAUUCUGUGAUGAAGAAUGAUAUGACCGCUGCAGUGGUGGCCAGGAACCUUCUCACUCCCAAAGAUAACAGACUACUUUCCAAACGGUCUGAUGAGUUGGCUGUUAAGGACUCUCUGGCUCUUAGUGUUCAGUGUGCAGGUUCUGUGUCUAAUAUGGCCCAACGCCUAUUUGCUAGAACCCGCCAAGUUGAAUCAUUGGCUGCUGAAGUGAUGAGUCUCAAACAGGAGAUUAGAGGGCUCAAGCAUGAGAAUAAGCAGUUGCACCGGCUCGCCCAUGACUAUGCUACAAACAUGAAGAGGAAGCUUGACCAGAUGAAGGAAUCUGAUGGUAAGGUUUUACUUGAUCAUCAGCGGUUUGUGGGUUUGUUCCAAAGGCAUUUAUUGCCUUCGUCCUCUGGGGCUGUACCUGGUAAUGAAGCUUCAAAUGAUGAACCUCCAAUGCCUCCUCCUUCUGGGGUUUUGUCAAGUACUGAGGCUCCGGAUAACCACCCUCCGGUGCUUUCUCUUUCUGGGGCUCUACCGACUGCUGAGACUUCCCCUAAGCAACCUUUGUGAAGGCUCCCUUUUGUUUGUUUAUUUUGACUCAUGUAUAUGUACAUAUUUGUGGCUUAUCGAAAAUAUUAAUAAAUAAGCUUUGCUUCAUUUCAACAUAUUGUGUUAAAUACACCAAAGCCUUCUUCAUAAAGUUCUUUGAAUUUUUGCUUUUGUUGAAACCUGUAUUGUUGAAGCUUUGUGAGUGAAGCAUGUAGUUUGAGGUAGUGUUCCCUUAAUUUCCCGAGUGAGGAAAACUUCUCGGUUGGAGACUUGAAAAAUCCAAGUCACUGAGUGGUUGUGAGACUUUUGCCGAGUAUCCAAGGUGCGUAGUAGCAUAUGGUGGGAGUCCCCCAAGUCUUCAGGCGAAGAGAGUUGCCGAAUGAGGUGUCUCGCGUGUUACUAAUGUUGUCAAAGUAACGAAUUCCUUGUUUCGAUUUGUCACACAUUCGUAUAUGCUUUAUCUAAAAAAUAUUUCCAACUUUUGUGUGUUUGAUGCUGCAUGCUAUUGACUAGACAAAAAGAUCAAAUGUGCAAUUAGUAGCUUUUCUCUCUUUUUCAUCUUUUCUUUGGUGGAAUUGCUUUUUCGUUUCCACUAAUCAGCCUGAGUGGAUGCAAGAUAACACCUUUCUCUAUAGCUCAGAUUGCAAAGUCGUCUUCAUGAAAGUUUUUCCUUAUCUUGUGAACUACAACAUAUCCAAAUUUGAGAGAUCCAUCGGAGUAGUACAACUUCAGAAAUUCAAGUAUGAUGAGUAACUGUUCAUCAAUGUUCUGUUAAUCCGUCAGACUUUGUUGUGAGCUUCGAAACUCCAUUUUCUCUUGUUCAGAUCAACAUACUUUCUUCAUCGAAGUUGUUCCUUAACUUGUGAACUACAACAUAUCCAAAUUUGAGAUCCCUCGGAGCAGUAUAACUCCAGAAAUCCAGGUAUGAUGAGUGACUGUUAUCAUUUGUCUGUCAACCCGUCAGAUUUGUUGUGAGCUUUGAAACUCCAUUUUCUCUUGCUUCAGAUCAGCAUGCUUUCUUCAUUGAAGUUGUUCCUCAGCUUGUGAACUACAACAUAUCCAAAUUUGAGAUCCCUCGGAGCAGUAUAACUCCAAGAAAUCCAGGUAUGAUGAAUGACUGGUUAUUAUUUUUCUGUCAACCCGUCAGAUUUGUUGUGAGCUUCGAAACUCCAUUUUCUCUUGUUCAGAUCGGUAUGCUUUCUUCAUUGAAGUUGUUCCUCAUCGACUCUUUCAUAACAUAUCAAAAAUUCAGGAUGAACUAACGGUUAAAUAUUUCCAGAUCUUCGAAACAUCACAACAGCUUCGAAAUCUGCAAGAAGCCGACUAUCAUGUUUGGAGCUUCAACACUUUAAUUUCCGUCGCUCAAACAGAAAUGGUUCCUUCUUGAAAGUUGUUCAUAUGCUCAAGAACUAUAGGGUGUCCAAAAUUCAGCUCCAUUGGAGAAGAGCAGAGGUUGCAGAAAUUUGAUAGAUGAAAGGAGGCGGAAGAGGGAGAGAGAGAAAAAGUCUCUUGGGUUGGAUUUCUAUUUUGGGGCAGAUUCCAAUUUUUGUAGCACCUUCAUUAUUGAUGAAUUGCUUGUACUUUUGUCCAUUAUGAAACUUUGGGACUUUGGCUUGUUGUUGGAUCUAUUAUAAUAUGUUUGGGAACAUAUAUAAGUGAAUAAAUAAGAAGGAAAAUUUUGGGCCCUUGUGGGUGUAAAACAAAAAAUGUUUAUGUUUACCCAAGUGUUUUUGUACAAGUUCAAGGGCAUCUUGGGUUUUGUGAACAAAAUUUGUUUAUUUGGAGCAAGGUUUUGUGUUGAAGCUUUGUAGGUGAAGCUUUCUAGGUGAAGCUUUGAUGGUGAAGCUUUGUAGAUGAAGCUUUGUAGAUGAAGCUUUCUAGGUGAAGCUUUGAUGGUGAAGCUUUGAUGGUGAAAGUAUGUAGAGGGAGCUUUCUAGGUGAAGAUUUUUUAGGUGAAGCUUUGUAGGUGAAGCUUUUUUAAGUGAAGCUUUUCGGGUGAAGUUUUUUUUUUUGGGAAGCUUUGUGGUGAAGCUUUUUAGGUGAAGCUUUGUGGGUGAAGCUUUGGAGGUGAAGCUUUUGGGUGAAGCUUUUUGGGUGAAGCUUUUUAGGUGAAGCUUUGUGGUGAAGCUUUUUAGGUGAAGCUUUGUGGGUGAAGCUUUGGAGGUGAAGCUUUUCGGGUGAAGCUUUUUGGGUGAAGCUUUUUAGGUGAAGCUUUUUUGGGUGAAGCUUUGGAGGUGAAGCUUUUCGGGUGAAGCUUUUUGGAUGAAGCUUUUUUUUUUUUUUUUUUUUUUUUUUUUUUUUUUGGCGCUUGACACGGUCUUCAUUUGCUUGUUUUGUAGUGACUGUGGAAGACGGAUUGCUUUCUGAUUGAGAAGGGUUCCGGCAUCGCUUGCUAUGAAUGUAAAAGAGUGAGGGCUGAGUUGGCUAAAUUACCUCUUUAUUGAAUUCAUUGCCAAAUGGCCUUCAUUACAUAGGAUGCCGAACGGCUAUAGCUCAACACUUGUACAUCGUGAGUCUAUUUGUAGUAGUACUUCAAGUGAUCAGCGUUCCAUGGAUGGCCAAGGGUCUUGCCAUCGGAGCUUCUAAGUGUGUAAGAGCCAGGGCGACUGAUGCCAAUGACUUCAUACGGUCCAUCCCAGUUUGGACUAAGUGUGCCUUCACUCGGGACUCUGUCGCAGAGUAAUCUUUUCUUUAAGACCCAGUCUCCUAUUUUGAAAGAACGAGGCUUGACCCUAGAGUCAUAAUAGUUGGAGAUGCGCUGCUUGUAGGCGACAUUCCUCAAGUGAGCUUGGUUUCUGUGUUCCUCGACUAAAUCCAAGUUGAGGGUGAGUUGUUUGUCAUUUUCACUUUGAAUGUAGUUCUGGACUCGGAAUGUUGCUUGCUCGAGCUCAACAGGGACAACCGCCUCUGUGCCAAAGGCAAGUGAGAAUGGAGUUUCUCCUGUUGAAGUCCGAUAUGAAGUGCGAUAUGACCAAAGAACUUGGGGUACAAAUUCUGGCCAACAGCCUUUAGCUUUGUCCAAGCUGGUUUUCAAAGUGCGCUUGAUUAUUUUGUUGAUGGCCUCAACUUGUCCAUUAGACUGGGGAUGAGCUGGAGAGGCAAAGCAUAAGUUGAUGUUGAACUUAGAGCAGAACAACCUGAACUUCUUGUUGUCAAACUGUCGCCCAUUGUCAGUGACUAUCGCAUUGGGAAUGCCGAAUCUACAAAGGAUGUUCUUCCACACGAAGUCUUCUAUCUUUGCCUCAGUAAUGGUUGCCAAGGGUUCUACUUCGGCCCACUUUGUGAAGUAGUCCACUGCAACGACUGCGUAACAGACUUUGCCCUUCCCUGCCGGCAUUGGGCCGAUCAAAUCAAGUCCCCACUGGGCGAAGGGCCAAGGGCUGAUCAUAGGAGUAAGAGGCUCUGGAGGGGAAUGAGGAAUAGUUGCAUAUCGUUGACAUUUGUCACAUGAGCGGGAUACUUUGAUGGCAUCCUGGUGGAGUGUUGGCCAGUAAUAUCCUUGGCGAAAAGUCUUGUGUGCUAGGGACCGAGAUCCAGCAUGAUCUCCACAGACUCCCUCAUGUAUUUCCCGAAGGACGAUUUCCGCCUCGGCAGGCGUAAGACACCUUAAGUAUGGCAGGCUAAAACCUCGCUUAUAGAGUUGAUCAUUGAUGAUCAGGUAGCGGGUAGACUUGUAUCGAAUUUGCUUAGCCUGGACUUUAUCAUUUGGGAGGGUGCCAUGAGCAAGGAAAUUAUAGAUCGGGGUGAUCCAACUAUCCCCCUGUUGUAAGUUGCAUACUUCUGCGGCCAUGGUGCUUGGUGUUGCCAACAGUUCGACAUGAAUUUUUCUUCCAAUCUUGUCUUCCACAGCUGAGGCGAGGCGAGCCAGGGCGUCUGCAUGACUGUUUGCCGCUCGAGGAACUUGGGUGAUCUGGUAGUGGAAGUGCUUGAGCAAAAGUUGUGUUUGCGCAAGAUAUGCUGCCAUGGAGCUGUCCUUAGCAUCAAAGUUGUUGGUAACCUGGUUGACCACUAAUUGGGAGUCACUGAAAAUAUCAAUUUGUUUAACCCCGAGGUGUUUGGCCAAACGUAAUCCUGCUAGAAGGGCUUCAUACUCGGCCUCAUUGUUUGAUGCCUUGAAUUUGAAACGAAGAGCAUACUCCAUUGCUACUUUGUCGGGCGUAGUCAAGACUAGUCCCGCUCCACAGCCCUGUUGGUUGGAUGAGCCAUCAACAUACAGACUCCAUGCUGAGGUCGUUGAUUCUACUUUCUGAGCUUCCGAUGGUAAUGAAGCUACUGCUUCAGGUGUAGAAGCAAUGUCAACAGGAUAUGUGAAGUCGGCGAAUGAAAUCUGCUACUGCUUGGCCUUUUUCGGCUGGUUUUGGUUGGUAGGAGAUGUCAAACUCACCCAAUGCUAUCGCCCAUUUGAUCAUUCGCCCAGACGUGUCAGGACUUUGGAGUAUCUGUCGAAGAGGGUGAAUUGGUAAGCACGAUGAUGGCGUGUGCUUGGAAAUAAGGGCGAAGUUUCCGAGCAGACAUGACCAAUGCUAGAGCCAAUUUCUCAAUGUUGGAGUAGUACCGUGUCUCCGCAUCUUGUAAGGCCUUUGCUAGCGUAGUAGACAGGGCCGUUCGACACCAUUGUCCAUUUCGAAUGAGAACAGGAACUUACUGGCUGAAGCUGAUACCGAUAGGUAGAUAAUGAGAAUGUCUCCUACUUCGGGCUUUUGGAGAGUAGAGGGGCUUUACUCAUGUACUCUUUGAGGUUUUUGAAUGCCUCGGCACAUUCAUCAGUCCAUGUAAUGUACUUCCUACUUCCCUUAAGUGCUUUAAAAAAGGGAGCACAUUUGUCUGUGGCCUUAGAAAUGAACCUGGUUAAGGCUGCCACCUUGCCAGUAAGGCUCUGGAUGUCCUUUGAAGUUACCGGUUCCUUCAUGUCGAGGAUUGCUUUGAUCUUCUCAGGGAUUAGCUUCAAUGCCUCGUUGGCUAAUCAUGAAACCUAAGAAUUUGCCAGAGCCUACGCCGAAGGCACAUUUGUUGGGGUUUAACCUCAUUCGAUACCUCUUCAAAAUAGUGAAAGUUUCAGAUAGGUUGGUGAUGUGUUGGUCAGCAUGUUUGCUCUUGACUAACAUAUCAUCAACGUAAACUUCCAUGCUCUUCCCAAUCUGCUCGGCGAACAUUGAGUUGACUAGUCUCUGAUAAGUCGCUCCUGCAUUCUUUAGGCCGAAAGGCAUGACUUUAUAGCAGUAUAGUCCUCUGUCGGUAGUGAAGGCUGUGUGUUCUUGAUCCGAAGGGUUCAUGAGGAUUUGGUUGUAUCCUGAGUAAGCAUCCAUGAAGCUCAGGAGUUCACACCCGGCCGUAGAGUCUAUAAGUCUGUCAAUAAGAGGAAGAGGGAAGCUAUCUUUCGGACACCCUUUGUUUAGGUCGGUGUAGUCAACACACAUUCUCCACAAGACCUUUUGAAGCAAAAGACUUUCUUUGGUCGGAUUUUUCUUAACAAGGACCACAUUUGCUACCCAUGUCGGGUAAUUGACUUCGCGGACAAAGCCUAUGCCUUUGAGUUUUUCAACUUCUGCUUUCAUUGCCUCGUAUCGUUCAGCGUCAUAAGAUCUUCGCUUCUGUCUCACCGGCUUGAUCUUGGGGUCAAUACUCAAACGAUGACAGAUGACAUCGGGAGAGAUGCCUGGCAUGUCCUCGUAUGACCAGGCGAAGACUUCAGUGUUCUCUUUCAAAAAAGAUAUCAAUGCUAACCGAAGGGGUGGUGACAAUGUGGUGCCAAUCUUCACCAUGCGAUCUGGAUAAUCUCUUGAGAUAGGUACCUUCUCCAACUCUUCAGCAGGUUGGGCUUGCUGGGUGAAAGAGUCAUCUCGAGGAUCAUCGGGUUGAUUGUUGCUAUCAGGAAGAUCCAAGUUCGCUUCAUCUAGGCUGGUCUUUGUGACUUGGUCAUGUACAGACAGGGUUUCCUUGGGUCCGGGCAAGUGUUGUUGCUUAACUGAAGUGUUGUAACAUGAUCGUGCACUAAGCUGAUCUCCUCUGAUGUAGCCGUUGCCAUGGGGGGUUGGAAAUUUCAUCAACAGCAUAUGCGUGGAUACCAUAGCCUUGAGAUCAUUGAUGCCUGUGCGCCCAAAGAUGACAUUGUAUGCCGUUGGGCAGUCAACCACUAGGAAGUUAGUGGUAAUGGUAGCCGUGUAAGGGCCUGUACCAAUAGUAAAGGGUAAAUGUAUGCUCCCUAAGGGUUGCACGAUAUCACCGGAGAAGCUUAUCAGAGGAGAAAUCGAGCGAUCGAGCAAGUGUUCAGCUACACUGAGUGCCCUGAAAGCUUCGGCAAACAUGAUAUUGACCGAAGCCCCUGUGUCUACGAGGAUUCGUCGAACAUCAAAGUUGGCUAUGUGAGCCUCCACGAUCAAUGGGUCGUUAUGAGGGUAGAUGAUGCCUCUUUCUUCCUCAGGGUAGAAACAUAUCGGAUCCCAGUUAGGCUUUUGAUACUUCCCUCCCCUGAUGUCUUCCACGUGAAACACUUGGUGACCAGGCCUCAGAAUUCGUUCACUGUUUUUCAUGGCCCUAUUGGAAGAUUCAGAUAUGGGUGUGCCGCCGCUUAUGGAAUAUAUGACAUUCACCUGGCGUUGGUUACGGUUAUCCCUUUGAGGGUGAAGGAGGAAUUGAUCAAUUUUUCCUUCUCGUGCCAAAGCUUCAAUACGAUCACGGAGGAUGAUACAUUUCUCGCUAUCAUGGCCGUUAUGCUCAUGGUAGCAACAAAACAUGCCCGCGUUAUUCGGGGGCGUGUAAUCUGGGUGCCUCGGCUUUGGCUUUGGUAUCAGGUGAGCUAUGCUGGGGUAAAUGGCCGCGCAUGUGGCAUUCAAGGGCGUGUAUGUCUCAUACCUUGGGGUAGGGGGUAUCUUGACGCGGGUUUGACCCACUGCAUUGACUGCCUGGGGGCGAGCGUUAUUGUGGCGAUACCCUUGGUUAUCGGGAUAGUGUCCCUUACUCUUUUUACUGAAAUGAGAGUGGUGAGGAUGGAAAUCCUUCCUCUUGCCUUGAAAUUGAUAUGUCUGUUGAUUCGGCGAAGCAUUAUGCAAGGCAUGGGGAGGUGCCACUGCUGUUUGGAAAGUCGAGGUCUUCUCAUUUAGGUGAGUCUGGCUUCCACCUCCCACUUGUUGAUAAAGGAUGGUUGUAGGGGGUUUCUCCUGAUAUGUCUUUGCCUCGGCGGAGGCAUGGUUAUAAGCCUGCGCCAUCACCUCAGAGUAAGUCUUCCAAGUAUUGGCAUUGAUCAUGUAUUUAAAGAAACAAUCACGUAGGCCUGCCGUGAAGGCUUUGAGGGCAGUCUUGUCGUCUGCCUCGGCACACCGGGAGUAUUCAUGGCUGAAGCGGCCAGCAUACAUACGUAAUGACUCGUCUGGCUUCUGGCGGAUAGUGUACAGGUCAUCUGCAGAGUGCAAGCGAUCGGUUUGGAAAAUGUGUUGGGAAACAAAUAGUUUCCUCAAUUCCUCAAAUGAGUCUACCGUCUCAGGUGUAAGACGACAAUACCAAUUUAGAGCUCCGCCAGAGAGGGUGGAGGGGAAGAGAAGACAUCGCUCUUCGUCGGUGUGCAUCCGGUAUGCCAUGGUGGACUCAAAGAGGUUAAGGUGCUCAAUCGGGUCCUCUUUUCCAGUAUAAAGUUGCAAGCCAAGCUUUUGCUUUGUCUUUGCUUGAAGGGGGGUGUUGAGGAUCCUCCUUGUAAGAGGGCCAGGCCUGGGUUGGUUCCAGUCAGGUAUUUCAGCCUGACGUUCAGCCUUCAACUUGUUUACUUCCUCAAGAAGUUGUAGGACAAGGGGGUCCUGAGCGGAGUUAUGUGUCCACUGGAGCUUUCUUUCGUAAAUCUCCAUCUCCUCUUGGAAUUAGGAAGGUUUGAUCAAGGGCAUGUGAUUUUUCCCUGGACUCGUUGUACUGGCUUCCAGGGUAUGUCUGUCGGAACACCUCUGAGUCCCCUGUACCCUCAUGUCUCUCUAGGACUUGUUGCCCCUUCCCCAAAUUGGUGGCCGGCUCGGGCCGUGGCAGGGGACCGAGUCUCUCAGAAAUCCUUGGGUCAUUGAUCUUUGAGCUUAUAUGGAUGGAAUUCUCUCGACGUUGCUUCAGGAAAUCCCGACAAUCGCGAAAGACGGCUUUCGAUCCUUCUGCCCCUUCAGCAAAGAGGUGUCUCCCUCCACUUCUCAUGGUUCGGGUCGAAGCAACUGGGUUAAGAGAAGCCUCAUGUUGAUUAUCAAGUCGAGGGGUAAUCUGUUCCCUAUCAGGGAUAUCUAUGUCGAAUGCAUGUGACCCUCCAUGUUGGAGGGCACCCAGUUGAUGGUUGACUUCCACGGGGGCAACAAGCUCGCGUGUCUGAGCUUGCCUAGCUUCGUGGAGUGUCUCGAAGAGCUUCUCAUAUUGCUCCUGGAGGACCUCAUUCCUCAUUGCUAUCUUGUUGUUCUGAGCUUCCAACUCAUCGACUUUAGCUUGAAGAAGAACUCGUUUUCCUUCCUUCUUUCGUUGCUUUCGCACUAUGUGCAAGGGGGGUGUCAUUCUGUGUGCUGUGGCUUCCUUCGCUUCCCAUGUUGGAGAGGGAUGCCUGGUCAAAAGAAAGUGUACGAAUGAUAGAAACCAGCUUGACACAGCUGAAGAGAGUAGGAAUAAGUGUCGUUUCCCACAGACGGCGCCAAAUGUUGAUGCACAAAAUCAGCGAAGACUUUGGUACAACAGAAAGUGUCAGGUUUUGUGACCUUCGCUUGGUUGCUUCCGUCACUAGUGAGGAUAAGUACGUAAAUGAAUAGAGACAGAGAAGCAAACACAGGAUGUACGUGGUUCACCCAGAUUGGCUACGUCCACGGAGUAGAGGAGUUCUUAUUAGUAGUGAAGGGCUUACACAAGUACAAAGGAUCAAGCUCUCAAUUUAGUGAGUUCUUGUGAAUGAUUUAACACAAAAUGGCAUUAGGCAAUAUUGUGGGGGAAUGACCCCUAUUUAUAGAAAAACUUGUAGCUUUGUCACAUUGACAUGUGUCAUGUUAUGAUUGGUUCUUGAUGUCGACACGUGCUGCGCUCUGAUUGGCUUCUAAUCUUGACACGUGUCAAGUAGUGAUUGGCCUCCUGGUCGGAGGGGAACUCUUCUGGGUCCUUGACAGUAUAGCGUUGGCCGGUGCUCGGUAGUUUCGGGAUUGGUCAAGUAUGGUACAAACAAGCUGCAUAUUCAGUUUUUCGGAAACUAGCAAACUAAUUAGGUAGGGGAAUGUUAUAACGUCUAUUAUGGGGGAAUACAUCUCCUAGCAAUCAAUCCUUGGGCGCUGAGAGAAUGUAAUAGCCCACAUCGCCCAAGGGUGAGGAUCUUGUAAGCCUUAUAUGUAUAUUCUCAUCUCUACCUAGCACGAGGCAUUUUGAAAGCAAUACCAGGAUGGGCGACCCACUGAGAAGUUCUCGUGUGAUUUCCCAGAAACAAAACCGUGAGGGCGUGGUCAGGGCCCAAAGCGGACAAUAUCGUGCUACGGUGGAAUCGAGCCCGGGAUGUGGUCGGGGCCCGAGGGUUACCCAUCCUGGGAUUGCUCUCGCGCGAACCGCUUAACUUCGGAGUUCCGAUGGAACCCGAAGACAGUGAGUAGCGCGAGAGAGCAAUCCCAUGAUGGGUGACCCAUUGGGAAGUUCUGAUCACGUGAGUUCCCAAAAACAAAACUGUGAGGGAGUGGUCAGGGUCCAAAGCGGACAAUAUCGUGCUAUGACGGAGUCGAGCCCGAGUUAGGAUGUGACAGAGAAGCCUUGCGCUAUAAGGCGUGCUUUGUAUCGCACUAUUUCAUUCUUCUCAUUACGCUUCCUCACGAAAACCCACUUGUAGCCAAUGGGCUUCAUGCGUGGUGGUGUAGGAACGAUAAGUUUGACCUGGAUUGCUUGUUUCCAGGUUCUACGUUGGCAUUCAUCGACGGAACGUGGUUCAAUGUUUUCCUUUUUAGUCAUUAAAACCCACAAAACAAAAGAAAUAAUAUCAUUUUUAAAUAUCUGAAAGAAAUAAAAGUCACUAUAUACGUUGCCCAAUUGAUCUGUAUCGAAGAUACUCAACAAUGCAAUUAAUCAGAGAACAUGAUUUUAAGCCAGUAAUUACUAUAUCAUUAUUAUUUGAAAUUGAUUUUUGUUGUUGGCUUAAUUUACUAAAUCUUUAUAAAGGAUGGAGAGAAAGAGUGUGGAGGCAAUAGAGAGAAGAGAGAGAUGUGUAAUUGUGAGAUGUGUGUUAUGACACCUAUUGUGCCUUUAUUUAUAGUAGUAGGAAAGGUAAAUUCCUUACCCUAAUAGGAUUACAACACUAAUAUGAUAAUGUAUAGUCUAAGAGAUAUCCAAGAUAUGAUAGGAUUUACAUAAUGACUUUCAUAAUCUAAUAGGACUGCAACAAUUUUCAUUUUUUGGGUCAUUUUUGGGUCAUCCUUUUGAUUAUGGUGCAGUGUUUCUUUUCUUUAUAUUUUUCUUAUAACAAAAAAGGGACUCCUUUUUGCCCUCCAAUUUAAUUGUUAUUCAUUAUAAACGUAGUUUACAUUCCAAGUUAAUGUGACAUAUGUUAAUCUCUCACUUUUCCAUUUUUUUUCCAGUGUUCUAAAAAACGGCCUAGGCGGCCGCCUAGGCGCUGGGCGCCUAGCAACCGAGUUGUUUUUGGGCAAAUCGGGAGGAAAAAUCGGGUUGGGCCUAGGCGGGCUAGGCGGCGCCUAGGCGGGCUGGGCGGCUAGGCGGGUUAGGUGGGCUAGGCGGCCCUAGGCGGUCCUAGGCGGUCCUAGGUGGCCCUAGGCGGUCCUAGGAGGUUUUUUUUAUUUUUUAUUUUUUAUUAAUUGCGUGCUUUUUUCUUUUUUGGUUUCAUGGUGGUAUACUUAUGGAAAUGGUGUAUCUAAUUUGCAAAUGAUGAAUUUACUACAAGUUCAUCCAAUACUUAUGGAAAUAGUGUACCUAAUUUGCAUUUUAUCAUUAUUUUAUUAUCCAUACAAGUAUAGUUUUUUUUAGGUGUCAAUAUGCACUUAUUUACAAGAUAUACAAAAAUUUACCUAAAUCCGCCUAGGCCGCCUAGGCGCUAGCCCGCCGCCCGACUAGCGCCUAGCGUUUUUUAGAACCUUGUUUUUUUCUCAAGAUAAACACGAAACUAACGAUGAGCAUGUAUUACCUUAAUUGCCUCCUCCUAGUGCUCACCGCCUUGUUGUAUCUUUCCGUUGCUGCCACCUCGUAUGGAGUAGGAGGAUGAGAAGAGCACAAUUACCCUCCCAAGAACCGUUCUCUAAGGGGUGGGUACUUCUCUAUUGACAACUUGAGCGACCCACAUUUGAGGGAGAUCGUGGAGCUUGUUAUCUCCAUGUACAAUAAGAUUUAUGACAAAACACUGGUGUUGCAAAAGUUAGUUCGGGGACAUUUCUAAAUAGUGGAGGGAACCAAUUUCAAGCUUGUCAUUGCGGUUGUCAAUUCUUCUUCGAUCUAUGGUGGCCCCAUCAACUAUGAUGGCGUGUUUACCAAUUGGGAGUGGAAUGGAGAGAAAUGGAAUUGAAUUCCUCCCCAAGCAUUCUGCAGUUUACUAGCAACUGGGGAAUCAGAUUUUAUGUGGGGUCCAGCCAAUUUCAGGAUUUCAAUUUCGGAUUUCUCUGGAUUUGGAUUCCCUCUAUAGAGGUGGUAAUUGAAUUCUGGGUAGAGAGCUCCAUCACGAAUCAAAAUUUUCUACCCAAAAUACCCAUGUAUAUUCCUAAAACAACUUCUACCUUCAUCAAUCACUCUCCUCUGUAUUUGUUUCUCUCACAACUCAUACCACCCCUUUGUAAUCUGAAACGCAGUAACACAGAAUGACGAACGCCUGCGAUUUGGAACAACGAUCGACCGGGGUUUGAAACGACGACACAACGACGAACAUGAUCUGGAACAACGAACGCCCAAAUUCUCAAGGAAAUUGCGAUUUGUAGACUCAAACAAAAGAGAAGGAAAGAACUUUUAUCACUUUCACCCCUGAAAAUUGGAUUUUUUUUGUUGAUGGGAUGGGUCGUGGCUUCGUAGUUCCUCCUGAGAUUGGAUAGUGGGGUGUGGAUACUGCGUACUGGUGAAAGAAAAGGGCAAGAAAGGGGAAAGAAAAAGAAUGGGGAAAGAAAGGGGAAAGGGUUGCAGAAAAAGAAUGCGGAAAGAAAGGGAGAAGAGAGAAGGAAGUAAAAUGUUAUUUAGUUUACUUUAUGUAGGUAUUUCUAAUAGGAUUUAGGGUGAUUAAGGGUUAGAAGCAAAUAAAAAUUGAUUCUUUCAUAUCAAAUUUGAAGUAAUCUAUGCAAUUAGGAAAAUUUAAAAGUUAUAUAAAAGAAAAAAAAUUAUUCUCUUUAGUAAAAAAUUAAAAAAAAAAUAAAAGAAUAAAAGUUUUACUAAAAAUAAUUAGCAUAUAAAAUAAAUUAGUUAAAAUAGGGGCACUUUAGUAAUCACAUUAAUUAUCAUUCCGAUUCAUGUGAAUUAGUAAAUAGUUUGUAUACAUCAAUGUCAUUCCUACUCCGAUUCUAGACAAUUUUGGUAAACAAAUUCAACAGGAAUCUAAUUCUGAUUCCACCUCAUUCCAAUUCCUCCUCAAUCCAAUUCCUCUUAAUCUGAUUACGGAUUAGUAAACGUGCCCUGAGAUCAUUGUGUUCGAGAAUCUUUGGAAGACUAUUAGUAUUAAGGAACUGGAGUCCUUUGUUCGAAUUCAAACUAAUAAAAAUUAAAUCCCGUCCAUCUUAUUCAUGGUCUUUGGGGUCGUUUCUCACUUCUUUCUUAUAUGAUUUGGAGCAUAAGAAAUUAAGCAUCUGCUAAUAAUAUACAAGUUACUUUUACAUAACAUGUCAUAAGUUCGAUUUCUGACGUUGGUGAAUCACAAAAUGGUGGCCAGAGAAAGCCUGAAAUGCUUACAUAACUCUUUCCAGUUAAAAAAAAGAUGGAUUACUGUCAAAGCGACGAACUGAUCCUUUUUUUUUUUCUAAUAAUAAAAAAAACAACUCAAUUCAUCACUUUUCUCGACUUCUCCUUGAACCACUUUUUUAUAUUUUUUAUUUUUUAUCCAUAACAAACAAUAUUCUAUUUUUGUGAAAUAACCAACAAAUGAUAUAGAAAAGGGAGAAAUUAAAUUAAUCAACAAACACGAAUAUAAAAAGUAAUUUCAUUUUUUAUAAAGAUGUCUCCACACACAAAAAAAAGUGGGACUAAUCACCAUUCUGAGUAGAGUGGAACGGCUUGACUCUGCUACGUAGUGCCCUCAUAAAAAUUCCGUCAAAUAUAAAAAACGACACGUAGCUUUCUUUUUGUUCAGGGUGUUUUUAUCCAUAUAAUUUGGCGAAGCCUGUGACGGCGAAAAGAGGAGGAGGGACUGGAUUUUACAGUCGUAGACAACAUCAACUUCUUCUUCUUCCCCGGGUCGCCGCCGUACGUAAAGCACGACUCUCUCCUUAUAACUCGCCCCGCAGCCGUGACCUCUGCCGGGUAAGAGAUUUAUUGCCUCUUCUAUUUUUAAUUCCGCGUCGUUCUCUAAUUUAGGAAUUUGCGUAUUGAGGAUUUAGGGAUGUUGCCAUUACAAACAGAUGAAUUCGAAAAUUUCCAACUUGUUCAGUGAAUGGUUUUCAGCGAUUUUUCUCUGCUUGUUAAUUUUCAACUGUAAUCAAUUUGUAAUAGCUUCUGAAAAGUGAAAACAAAGUGAGAUUAGUAUUCACUGAAGAUUCAAAUGGACAACGAAACGAUGGAGUUCUGUCUCUGAAUAACUUCUUGCUCAGUGUAAAGUCUGUUGAUCGUUGAUGCUUUUGUUCUAACGAAAAGCGGGUGACCGGAAAAACCAAACAAUUAAAUGUGCAGAUUAAGGAAUUAACAGGUUCCAUAAAAUUGGGGAAAUCUCAUAUUAACAAAGGGCACCGUAUAAUUUUUAACCGAGGAAAAUUGGCUUAGAAUUUCAUCCCGCCACAUUUUCCAUUCCUGGGUCUCUGCCUGUUCUACAUUCUAACAUGCAGUUCCAAAUGUCACUGCUGGUUUAAUUUCUUUAGACGAUACUUUUCAUUUUUGCUGCUGCAGAAUAUUUUCGAAAUCAUUUUAAUUGAGCUUUUGGGAAGGCUUUGUUUGACAGAGCGGAAAGCGGACUGUUUGUCGUUGGCUUCAGUGUCAGCACUCUGGUUGAAGUCUUUAACAUGGUUAGCCUUAUUUUAAUCACAGUUAUAAUUUUGAUUGUUAUUUGUCUUCUCUGUCAAGUAUGGUUAAAUUUUCUUUCUGUUUUUAUUCUCAGGAAGUGUUCAGGACGGCCAUUUUGCAGCCUGGCCCACCUGAAAGGUUUGCCCUUCAGACAGUUCAACAAGUUAUACAACCUCAGGUAACAACCAUAGAUCCUUCAUGGUCAGGGUUCUUCUUAUUUAUAUUUUUUGCUUCCCAAAGAUUAAGUCCUGUGUAAAUGCAUGCUUAGCUAUUUAUGGCUUUGCUUCUCAAGACUGAAAUACAGUUGUGAUUUCAUUCUCUUUCUGUUUGCUACAUAUGGAUACACUUUUUUUGCUACCUUUGUCCUAUAAAGACUCCAAUUUCUAAUUUUCCAAUGAGUCCUUUACUUGAUUCUAGGCUUUAUCCUUGGUGUUCAGGGGAGCAUUGCUUUCUUCACAUAUAUCCUGAUUGUACAUUAAUCACAUAUUUAAAUCUUUAUUUUUUCCGAAUUUUGUUGUUUGGUCAAUAAAAAUUGGGCCAAUUGAUUUCAUUUCAUCAUGACAGAAACAAACAAAGUUAGUCCAAGAUGAGAAUCAAUUGUUAGAAAAUAUCCUUCGGACAUUGCUUCAGGAACUGGUGGUAUGUUUCUCUUUCUUGUAUUUGUGAACAGAAUAUUUUGAUUAUUUGAUUAUACUUCUGAAGUUUACUGCAUUUCUAGUUUUUUCUGCAUAUGUUAGCAUGGUGGUCAUCCACAGGAAAUUAAUGUUUGUGAUACGCUAAAAAAAGGCCUUAUGCUUAUUUGACGUCACAGUCAUGUAUUCUAUCUAAAUCUGAAGUAAAGUAGACCUUGUUAUAUACUUGAUUCCCCAUCAACCUGAACCCUCUUUACAUAUUUGACAUCAAUACAUAAUUCUCUCUCUUAUGCAUUUGGUUUUAUUUGUAAUUUUAUGUCACGUAACUUGAGAUUCUCACAGUCUUCUGCAGUACAGUCUGGGGAGCAGAUAAUGCAGUAUGGUCAAUCAAUUGAUGCUGGAGAAACUGCCCAAGGACAUAUUCCACGUCUUCUUGGUCUGUACAUGUUUCUGUUAAACUAUUGCAAGCACUUAGUUGUACGUAUCUAAUGUUCUUGACUUGCUUUUUAGAAGAAGCUUAUACACUUUCUAAUAUAAAAAUUCCUACGUGUUGUGUUGGUAUUUUGAUAUGUUUCUUGUGGUGCACUCAGCAUAAAUCUUUAAACUCUGAGAAUAAUUUAUACAUUGAUGUUUUUCUGAAAAGAAUUCGUAUUGCUAUUAAUUUUUGUGGUUUAUCUUUUGACAUUUAAAUCGCACCUAACUACUUUUUGACAAAAUUCAGAAUUGACUUCUCAAUUGUAGACCUGUAUAUCCUCUAAUGUAAACAAUAAGCUUUUUUAGGUCAGUUCUUUGCCUUACAAGAGCUACUCUAUGGAAAAUGGCUUGUUAUAUUGGUUUUAGUGAAGAAGAAAAUUGACGAGUCUUAUAGAAUGCAUCUCUCUCUUGCUCUAUCUCCACAUAUAUACUACUCUCUUCCUCUGCCUUAUACAGCUCCUUUUAUCUUCUGAUGCACCAGACGUUGUGUUGUAUCUUUGUGAGAAAGAGCAUGUCGAAGGUGGCAUGAUCUUUCAGCUGUUGGAAGACUUAACAGAAAUGUCAACUAUGAGAAAUUGCAAAGACGUUUUCGGUUAUAUUGAGAGUAAACAAGAUAUAUUAGGAAAGGUUUGUGCUUUUUAUAUGUCAAUGGAUUAUUUUUCCUUGUUUUGUUUUUUUAUUGUAAGUUUCCCAUUUUCCUUCUCUUUUACAUCCUGCUGUACUUUAUAUGGUUCUCCUCAUGCAGCCUGAGCUUUUUGCGCGAGGAAAACUUGUGAUGUUGAGAACAUGCAAUCAACUUCUUCGUCGUCUGUCAAAGGUGGUGUUACUAAUCAUAGUAGUCAUCAUUGCUUUUACAGCCAACUUUCAUUUUUGAAACUUUCCCCUCUAUUGUGAUAUUUGUUUGUAUUUCAAACACCAAAAAUUGGUAUGCCAUUCAGAAGUCACAUUUAAAGCUGGUUGUAUAAUGUUUAUAGAAAAUAACAGGUGCUCAGGUUAAUAUGUGUUGUACUUGUAAUUAUGUAAUGGUGGUUACAUAUUUGACAUCAUAGACUUGAGGAUGGGGCAUUGUAUAUUUGUGCUAGGGAGGUUCUCAUGUGUUUCUCACAUUGCUCCAUUGUGUUCCUCACAUUGCUUCACUGUGAUAAACAAAAUUUAAAAUGCGGUAUGCAAUCAUAUUGAUAUUGUUUUUCUCUCUUUUGAUUUAUGAACUAAUUUUUUGUUUUUUGAAAUUAAGUGUUUUAGCUAUUGUUGUACCACUUCAAGAAGUCCUUAUUUGAUGAAACUAUAUCCACUUCGAUGAUUAAAUUUUUCUUGAAAAACUUAUUGUUAUAGUCAUGUUGUGUACUAAUUUCUUUGAACCUGACUCAUAGGCAAAUGAUGUGGUAUUUUGUGGACGAAUUCUAAUGUUUUUGGCACACUUUUUCCCAUUAUCUGAGCGUUCAGGUACCUGUUUGUCUUCAACCCUUGUCUUCACUUGUAAUUUAAUUGCUCUCGACCCUGGUGUUCAGUUGGACUAUAUAUUCAUGUUGCUCUUAUGGUUACUGUGUGCAGCUGUUAAUAUAAAAGGAGUUUUUAACACAUCAAAUGAGACAAAAUAUGAGAAAGACCCCCCUGAUGGUACAUCCUUGCUAAUGACAGUUGCUUGAUUUCUCAAUGUUGAUGUCAACAUAUUAUUACACAUAUAUCUGUAUAUAUAUCUAGUGUGUAUAACUUUUUGGUGAGUAUAGAUCUCUUAAGCAUAUAUGUUAUCCGUUUUAUAAUUUUCAGGAAUUUCCAUCGAUUUCAACUUUUACAAAACCUUUUGGAGUUUACAGGUAAACUAUGCAACUUGGAAGCAAUACGGAGCUAGGCUUUUUAGUUAUGGUUUCCUCUUCUCCAUUUUGAUUUGAGUUUUGAGCUUAGGGAGUGUCUAUAUAUAAUGCUAAAAGGUUAUAUAGUUUGAAAUGUUGUUAAAUAUUCAUACUUUGUUUCUGUAAUUCUUCUUGUAAACUGAUAUCAGUGAUAUCAUUCAUUAUGCUAAAAACUUGUCUGGAUGGAUUUUCAGGAAAGCUUCUGUAACCCUCCUUCCUUAACUCUUGGUCCUACCAAGUGGAAGAAAUUUACAUCCGGUUUAAUGGUAAUAACAGUCUUCUGACAUCUUCGUUUUAUUUGUCUUUAUGGUAUGCCAGUUUCUCUUUAUUUUAUUAUUCACUCAAAUAUUCUUUUCUUGAAUGUCUUGUUAGGUUGUUUUGAAUACCUUUGAAGCUCAACCAUUAAGUGAUGAAGAGGGAGAUGCCAAUAACUUGGAGGAGGAAGCAACAAAUUUUAGCAUAAAAUAUCUUACAAGCAGUAAACUGAUGGGUUUGGAGGUUAGUAAUGCUGGAGUGUUGACUUAGAGUUUAAUUGUAGCAGACCAUUAUUUUGAUUAGGAAUCAAAUCCUUGAAUUUUGAUGUUUUCUGGUGAGCACAGUUGAAGGAUCCCAGUUUCCGACGUCACAUUCUUGUGCAGUGCCUCAUAUUGUUCGAUUAUCUGAAGGUAGAGUUGAACAGGUCUUAAUAUUGAUUUUGGGGAAAUAUCAUUUCACCUUCCUAAUCUCUGGGCUUGUUAUAAUGGCCCUUUUCAACUUUCUGAUUGAUCUAUUUUUCCCUAUAGUACUCUAAUAUGGUAAAAUUAACUCUUAUUUUCUUGUAGGCCCCGGGAAAAAGUGAAAAAGAUUUACCUUCUGAAAGCAUGGUCAGUGUUGUAGUUAUAUCUUGUUGACUUUUGUAACUUUCUUCCUUCUUCUUUUGCUUUCAUUAGAAAAGAAAACAACUUUCCUCAAGUGGUGCUAUCUUUAGAAAGAGAAUUUACCUCGGCGGUGCUGGUUAUAACAAAAGAUGUUGACAAAAAAAAAAAGGAAUAAAUUGAGAUGCCUUAGAUAUGUUAUGAUUUUGUUAGCCUUGUUUAUCUCCAAAGUUAGGAAUUUGGAACAACGGUGGAUUAGAGUACUACAAUCAAAUCUCACCUGUAACUUUAUAUCAAUGUUCUGUGCUUGUGUUCGCUUAUGAAUGCAGUAUUACUAUUAUCCCAGUCAUUUGCAUCAGUUUUGUUAUCGUUUCUUCUCAAAAAAAAAAUGCUAAUUUACUCAUGCAAUUCUAUAAGUUUAUUGUAUUCAAAAGCAACUGAUGGUCCCUGGGUAAUUGAGUUGUGCUUGGGACUUUAUCUUAUCUUUAUUAAGAUGCAAAUGGACACCGCUUACAUUUUCUUUAAGCAUGAAAAAUUAAUGAAUUUGUGUAGUAUACCUUUCAUUGUGAACUGGUGGAGAGGAUUUACUUUCAUUUGGACACAGUUAUAGCAAAAGGUUUUGUAUGAUGCUAUAAAGUCAGCUUUAGAAUAUCUGUGCAAUUUAUGAUGUCUGCUAAAGAUUUCCUUGUUGAUUUCAGAAAGAGGAAAUAAAAUCUUGUGAGGAGCGUGUCAAAAAGCUGCUUGAGAUGACUCCGCCCAAAGGGAAGGAAUUUCUUAAUAAAAUUGAGCAUAUAUUGGAACGUGAAAGGAAUUGGGUGAGUGUGUUAUCUGGCCUCAGCCAUGCUAUUCUCAGAAAAUGUUAUCGUUGUUCUUGAGCAUAAUAUGCAUUUAAUCUAUUCUUAGGUGUGGUGGAAAUGUGACGGUUGUCCCCCAUUUGAGAAGCAGCCAAUGGAGAAAAAGGUGAUCCAAGAAGGAGCCAAAAAGCGGUAUGCAAUUCAGUGGCCUGUUUGUCUGGGUCCUGCUAUUCCUUUUAAUGUGUUUUUUAAUAAGAAAAAAUUGAACAAUUUUAAUUUUUCCUUUUGUGUAAGGUCUACAUAAGAAUAACUGAAGCAGAUAGAAGUAAAUUCAUCCUUUGUUUUCUAGCCCUGCUGGGCAAUUCUACUUUAGUUAUUCAUGGCCUUGGGAGUAGGUUUAUCUUUUAUGUAUGUUUUAGAUCUCUUUAUUCUAAACAGUGAUGCAUAUUUUGACUUGUCGUUUUGAUGUUUCGAUUUUUUUUGUUUCUGAAGUUUUGGGUUACUGGUAUCGACACAGGUGUAUAUUGUUUAAACCUUUGAUGUGUAGUAUUAAAGACAUUUCUAUCAGAUCUCAACUUUAUCUCUGGAAAUACUAAAGACAUUGCUGUAGAAAACUUCUAUGGGAAUAUUAACAACUUCAGAGAUUCCAGUGAUACUACCAUUUUACAUAACAGAGCAAGAACUUGGAAAUUGGUCAAAAUUGCGGUGACAUCUUUGGAAAUAUUAAAGACAUUCCACUGGUCCUCAAUGAUAUUGUACGAAGGAAUAAGAUUUACACAUUUUUUUGGCAGAACCCUGCCACCCAUAUGCUGCCCUGAUACCAGCUGAAACUUCUGUACUCACUUUCACUAAGAAAAAAGGAAACAAAACUAGACUGUUUUUGAGAUGAGGUCUUCUGACCAAGUGCAGAUGUUUUGCCUUGUGGUGGAGAUUGUUUCCUCUUACUUGAAUAUACGAAAUGAUUUGGUUUGAGAGAAAGACAACCCUACCCUCAUAAUGGUAUUUAGGAUAUUUUAAAAUAAGCUACAAUCUAUGCAGAAAAAUAAACAAAUUCACAUGCUAGAUGAACUCAUGGAUUUUUGCUGGUAUAUAUACCCAUGCCUACAAAUUAAAAUUUUUGAAUUGUUCACCAACUUUUAUCAGCCUUCUGUUUGUUGUGACCUGUGAAGAUAUUUAAUAAAUUUGCAGUGCUCAUUAUAAUGAACUUUUUGGUUUUUUUUUUGUCCUAAAUUCAACAGUAGGCCGAGAUGGAGAAUGGGAAAUAAAGAACUAUCUCAGUUGUGGAAGUGGGCAGAUCAGAAUCCGGUAUGCUAGAUUGCUAUUUAUGACAAGAUUGUUGAAAUAAAUCUGGCUUCAAACAUGACAUUCACAAGGUUUUGAAUAUAUGCAAUUAUUUUUUGCAACCUCCAAUGUUUCACAAGCUUCGCUGAUUCUAUAAUUAAAUAUUGAGAAAAAGUUUGAUUUAUUUUCAAGAGUGGCGGUGAUCAUCACGAGGAAAUGUACACCCCCACACUCACACGGUAUAUAUAAAUAAUUAUAUUAUCAGCUGUUAACAGAAAAAAGUUAAUAGCAUCUUGCUGAUUCUUCAUGGUUCAUACCUACUGUCCUUUCUGAAUUAGUACUUAUAUACUCAUAGAAUAUCAGUUCAGUUCUUACUAUAAAGAAGACAAAGAUUACAGAUCAAGUUGUUGAGGAAGAAACAUGUAAAUAUGUAGCAAUAUGUUCCUUUCAGUAUUGUUGACCACAAAAUUAAUUUGAAAAUUUUGGUGUUAUAUUGUUUAAUAGUUAUUUUUUCCUUGUCUAGAAUGCUUUAACCGAUCCUCAACGUGUUCGAACACCUUCCAUCACUGGGUACUGGAAGCCCUUGGUUGAAGAUGUAAGUACUAUAUACUUCUGAAUGUCCAAACUAGCAUGUUGUGUGUGUGUACUCGCGCUCACUCUUGUCCCUUCUCAUGCUAUGGAUUUUUUAUGUUCUCAGUAACUGUUUAGUAAGAUGAAUUUCUUUGAGUUACAGAUGGAUCCAGCAGCUGGAAUAGAACCUGAGUAUCACCACAAAAAUAACCGAGUGAGUUUUCUUCUGGAAUUUUUGGUCAAAAUCAGAAGACAAUCAUACAGAUAAAAGUUGGGUUGCAUUUUGACUAGGGUUCAUUGUUAAUAUAGAGUGCUAUUUUAUUUAAUAUCUGUUCAACUGUUUCACCAUGUGAUUCAAUGUGCAUUACCUCUUGCUUUUGAAUAUUAGAAUUGUUGAAACUCAAACUAGUGUUCCACUUAAAAUUUGAUUUUGUUUUAUCCAAUAGUAAAAUUUCAACAUGCAGGUUUAUUGCUGGAAAGGUCUUCGAUUUUCAGCUAGACAAGACUUGGAAGGAUUUUCUCGAGUAUGAAUAUAACUAUGUUUGCAUAGUUAAUGUAUUAUUUCAUUUUUCACUGAGCUUUACACCACUUGUGUGGAUGUCAUUGCAGUUUACUGAACAUGGUAUUGAAGGAGUUGUACCGCUGGAACUUUUGUCUCCUGAGGAGCGGUCUAAAUACCAAGCUAAACCAAAUGACAGGUCUAAACGUGCUAAAAAGGAAGAAUCAAAAGGUGCUGCACAUCAAUUAGAAGAAAGUCAGGUAUAUAAUCGGCAGUGUGUUGAAUUUCUAGUGUUUUAUUGUUGACGUCUUUGAUUCCUGUAGAAAGUUGAAUAUGCAAAUGAGGAAAUAAUAUGAAUAAUGUGUAUGUGUUUGUGUGUGCGUGUAUAUUGCCGAUGAGAUUUAGAAAGAAACAUCUUUAUUAUUUAGACAUAACGUUACAUGGCUGCAUAACACUUGAUCUGUGCAAUGCAUCUUCAGCCUAAAGAUUGAAAAAAUGAGAUGAAAAAUGUUAUAAACUUUUGCCCCUUUAUUGUUGUAUAUUUCGUGUUCUUUUUUGUCUUGGGGUAUAGGUUGUUUUCAAAUUUGAGAUCAAGUAAAUGCAUGUGUACGUAUAUGGAAGUAUCAGCAUUACUUGUACCCCAAGAAUUUUGACAAUAUUUUUUUCCCUGAAGAAUGCUACACCUGCAAGUGAAUUAGACGGUGAAGCCUCAGGGACGCCAAUGGACACUGAUACCAUUGCUGCAGCCGGCAACAUGUCCCAAGGUGGAAGUCCAAUCCCUGAUGAACAUCAGAAGCAAAGCUCCGAUGCGGAUGUGGGUCAAGAGGGAGGUCAGUUGGAAGCAGAUGCCGAGGUCGAGGUUGAGGCAGGGAUGCUUGAUGGUGAGGACGCGGAGGCUGAUUUGGAUCCAGUUGGUUAGCCCGUUCAAAGUUGGGAGUUUGCAUAUGUAAGAAUGAAUAUUUGAUUGAAAGUAGAUGACAUGUUUGGAAAUCCUAGAUUAGCAACAAAAAUUCCGACUAAUUUUUGUAAUGAGAUUGUAUGUUCGCCGGCCAAUGAAUGAACCACUCGAGGUUCCGUUUCUUCCGUUAAAGGGGAUUCAUGGAAAAAAUGGAAUAUAAAGACGUGUUCCAAGAACAUCAUUGAUACGUUGCUUGCGAGUCCCUUGGGCGGUCGCAGUCAGCCAUGGGAAAAGUAAGCAAAUGAAGGCAAAUUAAAUGCCAUUCGGGUUGUUUGAUCUUCAAGCUACUUCCUACCGGGUUACAUAUCACACAAGGAUGCAUGUCUGCCACAAAUUUGACCUACAAAUCAAACCCCCCGUGACCUUUGUUCAUUAAAUGAUCUCUUCACGAGAUAUUUCUUUUCACUUGUAAGUGAGACGUCUUAGAUUUGAAUCUCGUAGAUGAUGAAUUCGAUACCAAAUUAAGUUACCCAUUAUGUGAUUUAACCGAACUUAUUUCUCUUUAGUGUAAAAUAUAUCGUUGUAUUCAAACAAAAAAAAUUAAUGAAAUGCAUAGCGAAGCUUGCGUAUUAUUUACACAAGUAUCAUUAGAUUCAACCCUACUACUUAUCAAUUACAAAUGAAGGAGAGAAAUAUCAACAAACAAUAGUAUUUAGUAACAAAGUUGUUAACAAGUUUAAGAAGAAAGCAACAAUAUCAAAGUGUCAAAGAUUUGUAACUCAGCUGAUUAAGAAUAUUUUUGUACCGACUUUUGAAUUAGUUUUUUUUACUGGUAUUUAUUAAUUGUGCAGUAAAAGUAAGACAAACAAAACUCGAGAUCUUGAACAUAAAAAAAAAAAAGGUUCGAUCGAAAAAAAUAAAAAAAAGGAGUAGGAAUCCGAGUGAGAAGAAACACACACUCUGACACCCACGACAAAACACAAAAUUCCUUCCUUUCUUCCAAAUUUCCAAUUCCAUUUUACAUUUUACAUUUUACAAAUUUACCGCACAAAAUCUAAAACCCUUUUCCCUUUCGGAUUUUCUUUCACCCAAAGCUUCACUCCACACCACCAGAUUCGUUGAUACCCCUCCGUCUGCUUUCUGUUUGUUUCCCGAGAAAGUUUUUCCAUGUUCAAUUUUUUAUUGUUCAGAUUUGGAUUAACUAAUGGCCCCUGCUUCCGAGGUUCGUUGACUUAACUUACGAUUUUCUCAAUCUUUGAUCUUUGAUAAUCUGGUGGUACAAUAGUUCAGAUCGUUUGAUUCGAAAUUUGACAUAUUUUUUUUUAUAUUAUUGAUUCAUUGUUUUAGCUCAAAAGGGUUGUCUUUGUUUUCUUGGUUAAUUGAAUUAUGAUUGUUGAUUGUUGAUUUUUGAGUAGGAAAAUCAUGGAGUUGAAAUUGGAUUUGGAAUGUGAUGUUUGAUUGGGGAAAGUGGAAUUCUUGUUGUGUGCUUGAUGAGCCAAGAUGCUGUUCAAAUCUAAGAUAAAAUGGGUUGCUCUCUUUGUCCUCAUUUUAUCUUUUGCAUCAUUGCUUCGGCACAUCUCUAUAGCAAGAUUUUCGACUGUCGAUUUAGUCCAGUAUAGCGCAUUGACCGCAUUCCAUAACGAUUUCGAUUCUAUCUCUGGGAGGCAGGUGAGAUUUUGAGUCAUUUCUCUGCCCAUCAUGCGUCUAUUUCGAGUGUAUGUUCUUGGUUGUCUUGAUGGGCUUCUUUUGUUUUUUACAAUCAUGCAGAGUGUUCCUAAUAAGAAGCUAUGGGGGCCUGUGAAGACCCUGCAGUCUUUUCAGCCUUAUGCCAACCCCCGAGGCAACUAUCCUGGUGAUCAUCUUGCUCUGUUUCUUGCAUUUGUGUAUUUUCUUAGUUUGUUCGUUUCUAGGUUUAUCAUAUUCUUGCAUGGUAUAGUUUAUGAAUUUGACAAUUUGAACCCAUUGGUGAAUCCAUUCCCUCGCAUGCAUGACCAUCUCGAAGCUAAUGGUAACUGUUAUCUUUGUUAUACUGAAUUUGAAUUGAGUUCCCUCAUUCUAUGUUCUUUUUUGUCACUGGAGGAUUUGAUAACCUUGAACCAUUCAUAUUUUAGUUGAUUGAAUACUUUUAUCUUUUUACAGUUCCAAAUGAACAGAGCAAUGGCUUCAUUUAUGCAAAAAUAUUUGGAGGAUUUGGAAAGAUAAGAUCUACGGUAAGAUUUGUCAAAUAUGUGAAAGUGAUUCUGUGAUAAUUUGUAUGUGGUGUUCAUAAAUCUUUGUUAAUUUUCUAGAUCUGUGAUCUGGUCACCAUAUCCAGGCUUUUAAAUGCUACUCUUGUCAUUCCAGACAUUCAAGAAAGUACUCGCUCAAAAGGCAUCAGGUUCUUUUUUAGUUUGCUACUUCUUUUAUGCCAGUUUGCUGCGAUCAUAUGAUUCAUUGCUUCUUAUCUCUUUUGUUUUUUAUGACUUUGCCAGCUCUCAUUUCAAGAGUUUUACAUAUCUCUACGAUGAGGUGCACUUUAUAGCAUCUCUAAAAAACGACAUAGUCAUUGUGAAGAGUCUGCCAGAUAAUCUGAAGGCAGCAAGGAAAAGAAAUGAAUUCCCUUCUUUUAGACCCAAGAAUUCAGCUUCUCCAAAUUUUUAUAUCAAAGAAGUCCUACCAAAGUUAAAGAAAACCAAAGUUAUCGGCUUGAUCAUUGCUGAUGGUGGAUGUCUGCGGGUAGCUGAUUUUCUACUAGUUUAAUAGUAUAGCCUAUUUCAAAAUGUCAUCUGCUUGAGAAAAUAUGCAUAUUCUGUUAACAUUUAUAACCACAUAUUGUCAUACUCUUUUUUGCACUAGAACUGUCACCUAUGAACCAUUGUCUAUGAAAAUAAAUAAAUGUUAUCUAAGAACCACUUAAACAUUCAUUCUCUGUCGCUUUCCUAUUGGUUGAUAGGGAUCAUUCAUUCGUAUAUGAUUAUGUUAGUAGUGAGUCUGUUUUGUUUCUUUUCACUUAGUGAUUUCUGUGUUACAAGCAUGCAUGCUUGACAAUUAAGUUUAAGUGUUGAUGCAAUAUAAUCCUAUUUUCAGUCAAUCCUUCCACCAAACAUGGCCGAGUUUCAAAGACUUAGAUGCAGGGUUGCCUUCCAUGCACUUCAAUUCAGGCCAGAAAUUCAAAUGCUUGGACACAAGAUGGUGGAGAGGUAUGAAUCUAGCAACGCACCUUUUUUCCUGAAGAUUUGAACCGAUAGAGUGAUAUUGGUGUUUAGAGAACUUGAUUAGUAUAGACUGCUCUUAGACCAUCUGAUGCAAGAUGUUUUUAAUUAAAUAGAUUUUAUUUGAAGGUUACGGUUGAGUUGGAAAGAUUAGGUAAUAGAUAGAGUUAACUGGAGGGAUAGAGUUAACCAGAAGGAUGGAGUCAACAGGAGGGGUCGAGUUAUGGAGUAAGGAAAUUUUAUCUUUGAAAGUCUUAGGUCUGGCUUUCUACAAAUUGGAUGGAAGUUUGUAUAAGGAAAAUGGAAACUAUAAGCCUAAUGGAUAUGCCUAGGUUUUCCAAGCAGUCAAAGUGAACACAUCCUCUUAAAGAGGUUCAAAGGCCACGUGAAGUUUCCUAUAAUAUCCGCUAGUGUGGUCAUAUUCUUCUAGGAAGGGGUGAGGUUUUGGUUUUUGCUUGGGGAUUGAUUCUAUCUCAUCAGAGUUUAGGGAUUAUUACUUUCGUAUAUAUUACUAGAUUAGAAGGCAGUUAUGUGAUUAUUUUGUGUCAUAGCUUUUAUUUAUGUAGCUUCUGUAGAUGAUGGAUCUUUAUUAGUUUCCUUUUUUUUUUUUUUUUUUUUUGAGAAGAAACGAUAACACUUUAUUAAAAUAAAAACAAGAAUUAAAAAAUAGUGCAUAAGAAAUCCACCAUAUAGCAAAGCUAGCUAAGACCUCUCAAAUAGAUCUGAUUACAAGUAACAAUACCUCAACCAAAAUCAUUUUACGUGGCUUCUGGUGGACCCCGUUCACUUCUUGUAAUAAUUUACUUCUAAGAACUAUUUUCCUUCAGUUGAUCAAUGUGGCUUUUAUACUCCAAUAGGUUACGUGCAUGGGGUCAACCUUUCCUAGCGUAUCAUCCUGGUUUAGUGAGAGAAACCUUGGCAUAUCAUGGCUGUGCUGAACUUUUUCAGGUAAGAUGUUUUAGCCAGUUUUAUCUUUGGUAGUUGUGAAAAUAUAAAUUGUUGAUCUACAUGCUUAGACUUUAUCAUAGUAUUAGAGUAAUAGAACCUAAGUUUGAACCACCUCCAAUUAUGAAAUUCCAAUAUUAAGUUGAGUUCCACACGUUGGUCCUUAGUGAUGGAAAGAGGUUCACAUGUGAUGGGUGUUACAACUUAACAUAAUUCUGUCCAACACAUACACACAGCUUAAACUUUCUGGUUACAAUCUUUUUCAUAUCUCUGCCUGUGAAGUCUAAGUUAGUGUUAAAACGAUUGUUCUCCUUUGUUCCUUGGUUAAAAUCUAAGUCCGAUAAAAAUUCAGUUUUGGAGUUCUCUCCCUCCUCUUGAGUACAGGUGGUUUCUACCUUAAACAACUGCAAAAUAUUAACAGCGUGUCCAUUCACUGUCAUGGUUAUCAAAGUUAUCUUGCUAACUUGCUACUUUUCUGUAGGAUGUUCACACUGAACUCAUACAAUAUCGAAGGAAACAAAUGAUUAAAAAGGGCAUUGUUCAUGAGGAACUAAGCAUAGAUUCACACUUGCGUAGAGAAAAUGGCUCAUGCCCGCUGAUGCCUGAAGAGGUAAGCUCAGUACUAAUUUGAGAUCCAGCUUAUGUAUUUGUAAAUUGUAAGUACUGUUGUGUGGCUUUUAGUCCAGCCUGAUGCUUCUUUCUCGUGGUUCAUUUUUUAUUGUUUUGAAAAUUUCACUUUUCAAUGCCAUAAGAAUGUCUAGAAGAUUAGUAGUGAACUUCAGUGCUGGUUGUGAAAUUAAGCUUCCUUGGCACUCACUCAACACUGAAUUGAUUUUAGCAGUUCAGAAAAAGCAGAACCUCAAGCAUCCUUCUAUCAAUUUCGCUUUUAAAUAUUAAAUAUUAACAUUACAAUGGGAGUGGAAUUUGUGUUUCCAAAAAUUUAUGCUCAAGUGAUAGGUUUAUUAAGUCAAGGAUGCAGACCAGAAUUGGCUUCGGUUACUAAAGAGUUUAAUAAUUGCUCUCUAUCUCAAAUACUGUGGGAUUUGUUAGCAGCAGUUAAGUGAGCUAGGUCUAGAAUUGGCUGAUGUAGCCAAAUCCUAUUGGGAUUUUCCUUUCUAAUUUGUUGGUGGACUUCUUAUCCACUUCUGUGUAUUUCUCUAUUCUUUAAUAAAAUUGUUUCUUCUCAAAAAAAAAAAAGGAUGCAGACCAGAAAAAACAGUAGAGGAUGGAAUGACGCUGAGAAUUUAGUUAAUCCAACACCAUCUAAUUCAUAAAAAUAACUUUCGUAUUUUAAUUACUUGAAAAUUUUAUUUUAAAGGAGAAAAUGAUGAAUAGACAUCGAAUAAGAGUAAGGACUGAUCCUUUCUAAAGGUAUCCACUCAAAAUAAGGAUAUGUGUCACUGUGAUUUCUACAUUACCUCCUUGACUGGCCCUAAUUGGGUCAUCACCUUGACCAAAAGCAUAAGAUAAAAAAGGGAGGGGAGGGUAGUAGAAGGAAAGAACCUGGGCUUGAAAACCCUGUAUAUUAUCUCAAGCUUGAGUUCUUAUUCCGGGGCUUGACUCAAGCAUGUUAAUACGUUUGUGAACAAGCUUGUGACUAAGAAUCAUGGUAUAAAUUUGAUCUUCUACUUAUUGUGUCAUUUUCCACUGUAUAAUUUCAGUUUUGGUGGUGCAUUGAUAACGUAUGGGCUCAUUGAUGAUAAUUAAUAAAUCAAUCUAUCUACAUUUCCGUUGUUCAUUAGCUCAUUUAUUCUUCUUGAGACUUUCCCAGGUUGGAAUUCUUCUUCGUUCAAUGGGGUUUUCUCCUAAAACAAUUAUAUAUCUGGCUGGUUCUGAAACAUUUGGGGGUCAACGUGUUCUGGUCCCUUUGCGUGCUAUGUUUCCCAAUUUAGUGGAUCGCACUUCCUUGUGCAGCAAUAAAGAAUUGGCUGAUAUACUUGGACCUGAAACACCUCUUCCGCAAAAUCCAUUUCAUCCACCUCCAGCAAAAAGCGAGGAACAACUUAAAGAAGAAUGGAAGAAGGCUGGUCCUAGGCCUCGGCCUCUUCCUCCACCUCCUGGUAGACCUAUCUAUCAACAUGAAAAAGAAGGCUGGUAUGGUUGGAUUACUGAGACUGACAUCGAACCAGACCUUUCUGCUUUGGAUCUGAGAAUGCAAGCACAUAGACUAAUUUGGGAUGCUCUUGAUUAUAUUGUCUCUGUGGAAGCAGACACAUUCUUUCCUGGUUUUAACAAUGAUGGCAGUGGAUGGCCAGAUUUUUCAAGCUUGGUCAUGGGACACCGUUUGUAUGAGGUUGCUUCUUCUAGAACAUACCGACCAGACAGGCAAGAGAAGAAAAAAAAAGAAUCUAAUUCGACCUUUUAUAUAUGAUUGAUGAUCUUGUUUAACUUUGUGUGUCCUCUUUUCGAACAGGAAAGUUGUAGCACAACUUUUCAACAUGACGAGGGACAAUGUCUACCAUCCCAAGCAUAAUUGGACACUCUCAGUGCAGGAACAUCUUAAGAAAAGCUUAAGUGAGGAAGGCCUUACAAGGCAAUCCGUUGUGUCAAAGCCAGCCUUGUUUAUUUCACACCCACUCCCCGAAUGCUCUUGUAGAAUGUCUUCUGCCGAUGCUCCAGUUCAUGUAAAAGGUAAUGAUGGCCGAACUGUAUAUGGAGGCGAAGAAGAGUGCCCGAAGUGGAUGAAGCAUGGUCAAGAAGUUCCUUUGGAUUCAGCUGGGGAAGAGGGAGUGGAGGACAAUGAAUUGUCCCAGUACGGAAGUACUCUGGACGAACAACCAGAAUCAAAUGACAGUGACAGAACUAAUGCUACUCUCUACUCUGAUCAGGACGAGGAAAUGGACCCGAAUGACUAAAGUUGGAUCUGCAUACGAUCCAGUUCCCAUCUUUUUACUAUACUGCGGCAUUCAGUUUCCAUCGUUUUCUACCAAAAUGGAAAGUUUUGGAGGUAGAGAUGACAUUAACUUCACACAAGACGAGGAUCGAGGACAAAUCGAUGCGCUUGGAGUAAGCCAAUCAGAGUUUGUACACCGUUUUACUGAUAUAAGGUUUAUAUUCAUAGAAAAAGUUAUUACUUGUUAGAUAAGCCACAUGUAAUUUUCUUGUAGAGAACAAAUGACGAGUACAGGAAAUGAUUCAUUGCGGUCUCUCAGAUAAUUUUUUGUCGAUACAUUUCAUUUCGAAAACUGUUCGCUUUCCGUUUUUUAAUCAUGCACUUGCUCGUUUGUUGGCCAGAAUUCGAGCAAAAUUUAGCGGAUUAAAACACAUGUAGCUCACACUGCCUCCUAUUUGUUCAAAUUUUGAACUACAAUGUUAGAGCUCGUUUGGAUGUGCUUUUAAAAUGAUUGAAAGCGCUUUUGAUGAAAAUGUUUUUAGAACCAAUCUUUAGUAAAAAUACAAGUGAAUUCUGAAAAACAUUUAAAGUGCUUCUUAGAAGAAGUACAUAAUUGGUGCUUCUUGCAGAAAGCACUUCAAGUGCUUUUAAAACCUAAAACAAUUUUAUCUAAAAGCACUUUCAAUCAUUUUAAAAGCACAUCCAAACGAACCCUUAUGUAGGAGAGGCUCCUCGCUGGUGCACAGAGGUCCAUUUAGAAAAUUUACUUCGCGGGAGAAAUAUGCAAACAAUCGAGGCAUAUGCCACCACCGCUCAGAGCAAUUUGUGGCUCUCUGUAUGUCACUUUCUUUAAAACUCAAAAGGGCAAAACUACUUAACCCGGAAAAAAUAUAUAGCCUCAUCAGCUCCAAAUCUAAAGCUAGUUAGAUCGAAAAGAAGGAAAUUCAGGCGGCAGCUGCAUGCUUUCUCAGAAGAAAACAAGUCUUGAAUACAGAGAAAAUAUCACAUGCAUACAACUGUAAUUUGUAAUUUCAUAUAAAAAGUUAUACAGCCUCUUUGUUUACAAGCAAAACAAAAUUUCAAGUAAUUUACAUCCUACCGAAACCUCCCAUCAUAGUCCUGUAAGUUGAUACACAUACCAACCCACUCCAGCUUACUGGGUUUCCUCUGGUACAUAUUCCGCUGCCCUAACACCCACCGAAAUGUGAGGUGUCCACACAAAACAUCAGUUUACACAUGGAUCACUUCUAAAUUGCACAACAUAAGAAAACCACACUAACAGAUUACGUUUAUUCGUUACCAGGAACACUUUAUUCAAGUAAUAUCAAACACGAAGUAUUGACCAUAGUAUAGAGAGGUGAAAUGCGCUACCAAAGAUUGCUAUGCUGCUGCUUCUGUGGGCUUCUCAGCAACAGUGGGGCUUGCACUUUCGGCUUCUUUUAUCUGCCUCAUGAUGUCUGACUUUGUCUCAAGUAGGCCUUCUAUUUUGCCAUUGAUCUUCUCUAGCUUCUGUUUCAGCUUUACAACAUCACUGCCUUUGUCCUUUUUAUCGACUUUCCUUUUCUUCUCGCCCUUCUCCCCCUUCUCCCCCUUCACCUUUUUCUCUUUAUCUUUCUUCUCUUUACCCUCCUUUCCUUCAUCUUUCUGCGUCUCCUCCUCUACUUCACACUUUGAUUCCUUUACAUUUUCUUGAGUGUCAAUCUCCCUGGAAGUAACUUCAGCCUUGACCUCCUCCUCAUCCUCUUCAUUUUUGUGUUUCUUCUUUUUGUCCUCCUUGUCUUUCUUCUUCUUUCCUUCUUUUUUGUCAUCUUUUUGCUCAUCGCUCUUCUUCUCUUUUUCAUCAUCACCGUAUUUGUGUUUCUUCUUUUUAUCAUCCUUGUCUUUCUUCUUCUCCCCUUCUUUUUUAUUGCCGUCACCUUUUACUUCAUCACUCUUCUCCUUUUCGCCAUCACCACCCUUGUGUUUCUUCUUUUUAUCGUCUUUCUUCUUCUCCCCUUCUUUUUUAUCAUCGUCACCUUUUACCUCAUCACUCUUCUUCUCUGUUUCAUCAUCACCGCCCUUGUGUUUCUUCUUUUUAUCGUCCUUUCCUUCAUCCUUACGCGUCUCCUCUGCUUCACCCUUUGAUUCCUUUACAUUAUCUUCAAUGUCAAUCUCCCUGGAAGUAACUUCAGCCUUGACCUCCUCCUCAUCCUCUUCAUUUUUGUGUUUCUUCUUUUUGUCCUCCUUGUCUUUCUUCUUCUUUCCUUCUUUUUUGUCAUCUUUUUGUUCAUCGCUCUUCUUCUCUUUUUCAUCACCACCAUCCUUGUGUUUCUUCUUUUUAUCAUCCUUCUCCUUCUUCUCCCCUUCUUUUUUAUCGUAGUCACCUUUUACCUCAUCGCUCUUCUUCUCUUUUUCAUCAUCGCCCUUGUGUUUCUUCUUUUUCUCAUCCUCGUCUUUCUUCUUCUUUCCUUUUUUCUUAUCAUCACCGUCGUUUUCCUCAUCCUUGUCUUUCUUCUCCUUCUUCUUCCCUUCUUUUUCAUCAUCCACCUUUUCCCCUUCCUCUAAAUCUUUACCUUUGUCCUUCUUAUCCUUCUUCUUUUUCUCUUUUUCUCCCCCUUCUAUAUCAUCUUCUUUAUCUUCGUUCUUCUCCUUGUUCUUUUUCUUCUUCUCUUCCUUGUCCUCCUUUUUAUCUUCUUCACUCUCUCCCGCUUCAUUAUCCUUCUCUUUCUUCUUUUCCUUCUUCGUUAUGUCUUUAUCCUUCUUCUUCGAUUUCUCCUCGUCUGCAUCCUUAUGUUUAUCCUCAUCCUUUUCAUGUUUCGACUUUUCUUUUACCACUGACUUGGUCUUAGAUUCAAGUUCCACUUCAGUCUUCUCCUCCUUCAGGUCGCCUGGUUCUACAUCCUUGGUCUUCAUCACCAUAAACCGUUCUUCCUUUUGAACCUUUUCAAUUUCUUCUCGUUUAUAUUCAGUUUUGUCUUCCAUCUACAGACUAUCUGCCAAAACUCGAAACGCAAAACAGUUUCCUCCGAACCUGAGAUCCCUAAAACAAAUCAACCGUGCGAUCAGUAAUCCGGAAAACAAAUUCAGUAGAUUAAAAAAAAAAAAAAAAAGAAAAAAAGAAGAAGCUGAACUUGGUGAUGUACAAAACGAAGUAACUAAAAAAAAGUAUAAAUCCCUUCUGCUUGCUAAUACUCGGCACAUUGCAGAGACCAUGCUUACUUUCAGUUCACCAUCACAAAACACAGAGUACAGAUCCGGGACAAGGUUAUGCAUAUCUUUGGCGGCAAGCAACAGUCGAUAAAGGGCGAAAGAGUGUUCCAAAAGAAUCUAGCUCUAGUUAACAAUUUGUUGUCAUUUUUCGAAAUACACAGCCGAUACACACAGGGCUUAAGAUUUCCCCAAACUUGCAAAGGUUCGGAGGAUGGAACACAAACUCUGAGUUCCCUAAUUUUAGCCACUUUAAUCGACCCCUACUUUGUCCUACACUUAAUGGAAAACCUAUCACUUUCAUCCAACAGAGAGAUUUCCAUAUAAACAGUCAGGAUUCUCAAGACACGAACACGAUUCUGUUGUAAGGGAAAGGACAGCAUAUCAAAUCGAUUUCUGAACGGUGAUUUGAGCACAAUUCGAUAACGUUUUUCUCCAAAUUCCCACAAAGUAAUUAAAUUGAUACAAUUGAACGCAAAUGAGUAAAUAAAGCAACAAUGUUGUCCUCAAGAAAAUGCGAAAGCAGUACACAAAUCAACACAAUAACAUCAAAUAAAAGCAACAAGAAAGAAUCACAAUUUCAUAACACGCAUUCACGAUCGAUCACAAAAACUACACGUUUACUAAUCCGUAACCGGAAUUGAUUGGAGUAACGAAUCGUCAGUACCUCAAGGAAGCUCUGGUUUGACUGCCUCCUUCUUCAGUAACUUGAGAGAGGAAGAGAGAGAGAGAGAGAGAGAGAGAGCUUUGGAUUCCUUUGCAAAUUGUGUUAGCUUCGAAUCGAGUCGAUGUGCAAAUUGACCGAUAUAUAAACAUAAUUGGAAAUACGGAAAGCUGUUGGGCAUUGGAUUGAUUGUGCCACGGGCGGCCACCUGUCGGUAUUUUCGUCAACACGCAAAGGACCGACACCUUCUUGAUUCUUCCGCGUAGUGUGCGUACCCAAUACGUGGCGUUUUGUUUUGUGUGUUUUCUCCGAAACUCCAACGUCGACGACUUGGAUCAGAAAAUUUACUUAGCUCUUAAGUCUUCUUCCAAGUCUGAACCCCUCACCCCUCCCUACCUUCCGGUCACUUUCACAUCGCAACCUCCCUCCUUGUUCCAAUAGUAUUUUUUGGUCUGUAUUUUUAGGGUGCCAAACUUUUAAUCAAUUUUGUACUUUCCUUCUUGCCCUUCGUUAAGAGAACAUUUUUUGAAUCACGUUGUACGAUUUGCACGUUUUAAAUGUAUUUAUAUGCGUAAAUUAACAAAAAGAAAGUCAAAUAGUUGAAGUAAAUGAAUAAUUUGUCUCUAUUGAAUUUACAUUAAGAAUAGAGAAAAUAAUAUUUAAUAAACAACUUAUUGAAUCACAUUAUUGCUAGCUCAUUGUAAGACUAAGCUCACUCCCUCCCCCUUAGUGUAGAUAAUAUCGUUUGUUCGAAAGAAAAAAAAAACAAUCAUUUGACAACUAAUUUAAUCACAUUAUUGCUAGCUCAUUGUAAGACUAAGCUCACUCCCUCCCCCUUAGUGUAGAUAAUAUCGUUUGUUCGAAAGAAAAAAAAAAACAAUCAUUUGACAACUAAUUUAAUCAUAUUAUUAUGUGCGUGCGAAAAACAUUUUUUAUAACCAGUAUUACAUGCCUCUUAAGAUGUUUUGAAGGUGUUUAAAAAUUGAAAAAAAAAUAUUUAAUGAACAACUUGUUGAAACACAUUAUUACUAGCCUAUUGUGAGGUACUAAUUAUAAAAUAAAAAAAAUAAUGUACAAAAAAAAUAAUUAUUAAAAAAAUACUUUUAAAAUGACAAAAAUACUCCUAUCAUAUUUGAUGCAUUAUUUUUGGCUGCUUUGUUUGAGCAGCAUUUCUGUCCACUUAUUUUUUUGUGAAGCUUGUGACCUCAAAAGGAGUUGUUGUUGGCUUUAUAUAUAAAGAUAAGCGAAUUAAAAACAAAAUAAAAUUAUAAAUUUUGGAUGUUGAUCGAGUGAACUUCUUUCACCGUCCAGUAUUAUUUUUUGAAGAACCAUGAUUGAAUUUUUUUUUUUCUCUACAUAACCAUAGUCCAAGAUUUGAGGUUGAAUGCACAAGGAUAGGUGCAAUCGGACUGAACCUUAGUCAAUGAUUCAUGUCCUUUUUAUCAAGAAUUUUUAACAUUCAUUAUGAACUUGUAAGUUUCGAUGAUGCAUAAUAAACUUAAAAGUUAAGUUAUCCAAAUUGGGUUUGAUAAGGAACAAUUUGAAUGUUUAUAGGUGUACUAAUAGAUUUUUAACCUUCUAAAAAAACUAUCAAAGAAGAAACUAAAUAAUGUGAAUUUAGAAAACAAUUGAGCGUAAUUGAAGGCACCUUAGUUUAAUAUAAAUGUACUUGUGGAACCUCGUAGGUCCACCGCCAUGACCGACAUAACACAUGCUACAUAGUUUUUCAAUGGCUGUCGUGUAAUGUAAGUAGAGAAAAACAGCCGAAAUCAAAAGGCCACUUUCGUCAUUUAAAAAUAGAAAGUGCCACUUCUUUCUCUUUCAAAUUGCCUAGGUUAAGGUCAUUUCGUACUAAUAGUAUUUUUCUUUAUUUUUGUUUGUAAGUGAUAAAUUUUAAGUUUAAUUUUCUUAAAAAAUAAAUUUGUACUGUAUUAUUGCUAGUUAUUGUAAAGUUUAAUCCACUUCUUUACGAGAAGAAAUUUUUAGUUGUGAUGAGAAUAGAAGUGGUACACCACGUGUUUUAAUAGGAGUGAUAGAAAAUUUUAUUUUUUAAUUUAUUAACAUUUUAGCAUAUAUAUCUCAAUAUUUAUAUAGUGAUAAAUGAUGUACCACUUAAUGUACUGAUUACACUGAAAAAUCUAUCAUUCAAGUUGAUAAUAUCAUUUUUUGAAAAUUCCCACAUUGAGUAACAAAUCAAUAAUAAUUUAAAAAUAAAAAAGUAACAAACGAAUUUACUGAAAACAAAGUGAGAAAUUUAAAACAGAAAAGAAAAUCACGUUCUGUCUCUGAUCUGUCUCUCUCCCCUCAGCUGCAACAUCUCCAGCGCAAAAAGCAUCGUCUUUCUUUCUUUCUUUCUUUCCUUCCCUUUCUUUUGGUUUCGCUCUCCCUCUCCUCUGGAAACCCUAACAGUGGCCUGGUUUUUUCAAUUAACCAGGUCCCUCACAGGGAAAAAACCUUCAAUUUGUUUUUCUUAAAUUUUUAGUUUUUGUUAAAUUUCUUCGCAAGCUGUAGUUUUUCUUUGUUGCAUUUGUCAGCUGCCCUCGACAAUGAACGACCUGCUAACGGUAAUGUAUUUGAUUUUCUUUCAUUAAUUUAUGCCAUGGUUUGUAUGUUUGGGCAUGUUUGGAGGUUUUGAUGCUCUGUUUUUGUCAUGAUCCGGCUGCGUUUGAUGUUAUUGGAUCUGCUUUUUUAAUGAUUUUUUUUGAAUUUUUGGCUUAUGGGGUUUUGGUUUUCUUUACUUUCUGUUUGGUUAGUGAGAAAAAGGAGGGAAAUUGAUGGAAGAAUUGAAAGUUUUUGAAUCAUGGGAUUUUGCAUUGUGCUUUAGGGAAUGGAAGUGGUGGGUUUUACUUUGUAGAUCCACAAAAUCAAUGUGGACUUUGGUACAACAGAAAGUGUUAAGUUUGUGAUAUUCGCUAGAUUGCUUCGGUUAGUGUGGAUAAUUAUGUAAAUGGAUAGAGAUAGGGAAAUAAACAUAAGAUGUACGUGGUUCACCCAGAUUGGUUACGUCGUGGAGUUCUCAUUAAUUGUGAAGGAUUUACCCUUAGGAUCAAGCUGUGAGUACUAGUGAAUGAUUUAGGACAAAUGACAUUAGGAAAUAUUGUAGAAGAAUGAUAUCCUUUUAUAGAAGAGAGUUUCUAGCUUUGUUCUGAUAUUGACACGUGUUGUGUUGUAAUUAGCUUCUGAUGUCGACACGUGUCGCACUGUGAUUGACCUUCUAGUUGGAGGGAAACUGGUCCUUGAUGGUAUAAUGUUGAUCGGUGCUUGGUAGUUUUGGAAUUGAUCAAGUAUGGUACAAACAUACUUCAUUGCAGCUCAAUCAACACGAGCUACUGCAGCUUUCGAACAGUUUGGUGUUACCCUAAACUGAGAAAAUUGAACAAUUUGGUUUCUUUUCCUUUUAUUUUCCUGUGUUGUUUUUGGUUUCUCAGCUUUUGAACAGAGUUCAUCGGCAUUGGUGUUUGAAUCACUUAAGAUCUUUAUAAACGAAACUUGUUUUAAUUUGUGAGAAGUACUUCCCUUUUUCUCAUUUUUGGAAUUGAAAUGAUUAACGAUAAGGACAAUGAUGGAAGUUGCAAAGCAAGUAUUGUACUUUUACAUAAUGCAGAACUGCUGAAUAACACUUGACAUAUACCCAAGCCAUUUAAUCUGCGAUUGAGGCUCGGUUUUCCUUUCUAUGUUUGGUGUUUGCUUGUAUAUAUUAAUUAUAUACCAAAAUGUGUUCUUAGAAAUUUAGUAGUGUCUUGUCGUUACGAAAGUUCGAGUCAUAGUUAUCGUGCCUUUUCUUUCCUUUUAUCUUUCUUUCCUAAACCCCAUUGAACUCAAGCAAUCGGAUUUGGGAUUAAGGUUUUGUUCAAGUACAUUUAUGACCUAAUUACUGCUUGCAGGAUUCUUUUGAGAUCCCUCGGGGUCAAGCUUCGAGAGAUCAGGAUAUUGAACUAGGAGCACAUGCUUCAAUGAAUUCUGGAGAACUUGGUUUGGAGAAUUUCUUCAAAAAGGUGCUUUAGCUUCCUUGACUUAUUUUUCUUUAAUAUCCCUUAAAUGCAUGAAACGCAAUUAUUUCUCUUUCCGUUACUUUUUCCAUAGAUAAUUAUUCUGUACAUGGAGUAUGUGUUAUGUUUACUUUCUGUUGAUUCUGUCUAAUGCUUUCAUGAUUUUUGUCUCCAGGUUCAAGAGAUCGAGAAGCAAAAUGAGAAGCUUGAUAAGCUUUUGAAAAAGCUCCAGGUAUUAUGCUUUCCAAUAUGUUUUCCUUACCUUACCAGCAACAUGAAGGUUUUUUUGUUAGCCUCAGCUGUCAUAGUUCCUAAUUGGUUGGGUUCUCUUGUCUAAAAUGUAUAGACUUACUACUCUUAACUUGGUCUAAUUUCAUGUUGUGCUGAUGACAUCAGCCGUUAAACUUAAUUGAGAGUGAAUUUACUUAUCCAAGAAGCUCAAAGAUUUGAGUCCUGUUUUGGUUUGAUAAUGUUGUCGUCUUUGUAAUUGCAUGCAUGAUGCCAAUAUGUGGUGAUAUCAUUAACGGAUUUCUAGUUACACAUCGUUUCAUCAAAUUGGGAAUUUAGUGAUAAGGUUAUGAACAAGUAUAACUGUAACUAAACCGAACAUAUAAACGUCAUACUGCAGUGUAGGUAACAUAGAAUUGUGUAGCAACUGGACUGAGUAUUGUUUAUUUGCAAAAUAAUGCAUCAUCCAGAUUGGUAAAUUUACUGUGUUUGUACCCACUAAUUUAAAUAUUGUGAAACUGUUAUUUUGGAAAAUUCCUGUGUUUACAUUUUUGUGCCUUAUGCAAUAGCUUAAAAAAAUUAGAGAGCAUUAUAGUUGUAAUGAUUCUUUGAGAUAUAAAAAAUAAAAAAUUAAAUGCACUUUUUUUUAUCACUUUUAAUCGCUUUUGUCUGCAGGGUGCACAUGAGGAGUCCAAGGCUAUUACUAAGGCUCCUUCAAUGAAAUGUAAUCUCAAACUUGUUUAAUUAAUUUGAUAAUCACGUGAAUCUUUCAUGCUUAUAUUCGUAUUUUUCUUUUAUGUUAUGUAUGCUUGUUCCUUUCAUAGUUCUGUAAUGAUGUCUAUGGAUUAAAAUGAAGGGAGGAAACGAUAUGCAUGCAGGACAGGAGAUGUCAGAAAUUAUUCUAGCGUGUUUUCUCAUAAUUUUUGAAAAAGAACGCCUGUAAUCAGUUUACCUCUGCUGGUGUUCUUUCUUCUGUUUGCAUCCAUCAACUUAUUUUUUCCUUCCUCAUUAACCCAACAAAGAUGAUGGAUCCUUUCACCAUGUGCAGCAAUCAAGCAACGGAUGGAAAAAGAUGUCGAUGAAGUUGGAAAAGUUGCUCGUUGGAUAAAGUCAAAAAUUGAAGAACUUGACAAAGAGGUAAAACCUGACUCAACAGAAAGCUUGGUUUUAUUUCUGUGGUUCACUGUAAUUUUGCUUGUCGGACUAACCUUUCCUUCUGGGUCCAGAAUUUAGCAAAUAGACAGAAGGCUGGUUGCGGAAAAGGAACAGGUGUAGAUAGAUCCCGAACAGCAACAACCCUGUAAGUUCGUAUUUCAACAAUUUCCUUUGAAAUGCCUCAUGCCUAUUUCCCCUCAUUUCCUUUUGGUAUCUCCUAAGUUGUGGGAUCACCAAUGAUUUUCCCUCACACAUGCUUUGUUUGAGAAAUCUUUUAUUAAUUUGUCAACUCAACUGAAUCCAACAUUGUCAAGUGUCCACUGUUAUCUAUUGUUGCAGUGCCUUGAAAAAGAAAUUAAAGGACAAGAUGGCUGAAUUUCAGGUAGGCCACACGCACCCACACAUGCAUUUUGUUUUAAUGUCUGUUUCUUUAUUUCUUUCAUCACUAAAUUUUUUAACUUCCAAAAUAUGCAGACUCUAAGGGAAACCAUCCAUCAAGAGUAUCGUGAUGUUGUCGAGAGGCGAGUUUUUACAGGUUUGAACCCCUCACUUGCCACUCAUGAAUCGCUGCUAUUUUUAGAACAUCUACUUGAUUUUCCAUGAUCUGAUUUUCUAUUUUAUUUUUCUUGCUUUUUGUUAUCGUUAGUGACGGGCGCAAGAGCUGAUGAAGAGGUAAAGCUUAUUGCACUGUUGAAAUAUGGUAUAUCUAUACCAUUGUGAAAGCUCAUUUUCUAAUCAUUUAACAUUGUACAGACAAUUGAAAGAUUAAUCGAGACAGGGGACAGUGAACAAAUUUUCCAAAAGGCAAUCCAGGAACAAGGGCGAGGCCAGGUUUGUCAAUUUCCCCUUUUUAUUCUAUGCCCCCGAAUAAGCACAUUUUAUGAUCAAAAUUCUGAAUUCUCUCACAAACUUGACAAACUUUUUGACACUUUGAACAAUUAAUUCCAAGCUCCUAACUCCUCUCGUAAAUUUGUUAGCUUGGGUUGUUGAAACAUUGAAUUUUCUGAUUAAGAUUGAUCACAUCCAAAAUUGUGUAUCAAAUUGUAGAUAAUGGACACUCUGGCCGAAAUUCAAGAGCGACAUGAUGCUGUUAGAGAUCUUGAGAAGAAGCUUCUCGAUUUACAACAGGUAUCUUCUUAGUUUGUGCAAUGAUGCGUACUCUCUGAUGAAGACAUGAAGUUGCUAUACAAUACAGAUGUCUAGCAUAGGCCUUUUAAUUUUUGGAAAAAAUGAGGAAAUAUAUUGAAAGAGAUAACAAGUACAAGUGGAGUCAUAGAAGACUCUGAUCCCAGCUGGGGAUACAUAGUGAUACCAACCAUACAGAGAAAGUAAAUCUCAGGAAGAGAAGAUAACACUAGCUAGAAAAAGCCAUUAAGGCAUACAAAAAAUAGAGGAUGGCAAUGGAGUAGCCGUCUUCAGACUAGCAAUGACGGAGGACAAGGGAAUCCAUCACGUGAAAGUACCAGAACCAACAGGCCUUUUAAUUUAGAGUUUUCAAUUUGGUAUUGCCUUAUGAAUAUAAUAACAUUAAUCUGUUAAAUCUUUCUGCAUUUCUGUAAGAAAGUGCAGGAUCGGUAGAUUAUUAAGUUGUGUCAUGACGUGGUAAGUCUCUGUUUAGGCAUGUAACUCAUAAGAAAGCCAAGUUAUUGUCCACUUUUAAUUGCCAUGAUUUAUUGAGGCCGACUGUGAGAAUAGCUGCAAAACUAAAAGGAAAACUUUCUGUUUGUGUUUCGCCAUGAGUAUAUAUUAUAUGUUAAACACCAACUCAUAUGCACAGAUAUUUAUGGAUAUGGCGGUGCUGGUUGAUGCACAAGGGGAAUUGCUUGACAACAUAGAAACCCAGGUAAUUACCACAAUUUCAAAGCAUGAUGACCCCCUGAAUUUCGUAAAGUUUCAAACCCGAAAGAAAACAGAAGUUGAUUUGUAAAAACAUGACGUGGAGUGCAACUCUUGUAUCGCACUUGGGUAGACGAUCAUGUAUGUUGUGCUUUCAUUCCGCAGGUAUCAAGUGCAGUAGAUCAUGUACAGCAGGGGAAUACCGCUCUUCAGAAGGCCAAGAAGCUACAAAAGAAUUCGAGGAAAUGGAUGUGCAUUGCGAUUCUCAUUCUUCUUAUCAUCGUUGCAAUCAUUGUGGUGGCGGUGUUCAAGCCGUGGCAGAGCAACAAGGGUGCUUAAAUUAGCUCCUAUGAUAAUUUGUAACUGAUAAGUAUAGGGGAUUACAACUGACACUUUGGGACUCGAACAAAUCUUGUGAAUCAUUUCUAGCCCUUUUGUUCUCCUGUGAUAAUGCCCGCAUGUAACACUAUUAAUCGAAACAAACUGUCACUAUAUUCUUUAAGGGAUUCUUUAAUAUGCAUAAAAGAAAACUCUCUUUUUUCUUCUUGAAUGGCUCAUGUUACUGGUUAUAAAACCGUACCGUCACGGAGAUAUUCCCGUUGAUAUUUCGUACGGAUUUAACGGACUCUCCAAGAAGGGGUGUAAGAGAGUGGGCGAUGUUAGGGUGUAGAUUGGCACGUUUAGGAGAGAUUUUUCAAUGUGGCCGAAACAUAGAGCGGUACAUCAUAAGUUAUUAUACAAGUGGAGGGAAGUUUUUUUUUCCGUUCCAAAUGUUCCUCCACUUAUAUAAUGACACUAAAUAAUCUCUCCACGUUUUGAUAAAAAGUGUAGCUGACAUACUUAUCGAAGAUUAGUUAAAUGAUUUCUAUUAACUAUUGAAGAGUAGCUGACAUGAGCAAAUUACUGACGAGGAGUCGCUAAAUAGUUUCCUAGUUGGAAUUGGCCGUUGUUGUAGUGAGGCCAUAUCCAAAGGGGAAGAGAGGGUCAUAAUGUGCGUCUCCUACAUUCAUCGGCAGCUGAUCAACGGUUUUGAACCAGGUUCGAGAAAGCUUGCCCGUGAAGCCAUAGUCACCAAAUAAAACAUCAGCUACGCCCUGCCCUUCCGUUCCUGGAAGCCAAGCUGCAACAAGAGCAUCCAUCAAGGGAACAUAUGGUUGGAUCACAACAGGACGGCCAGAGAUGACGAUAACAACACAUUUCACAGAACCGCAAACAUUUGUGAUGGCACUCGGGCCAGGAUCCGGUAUUGUCAAGUUUAGGCUGUCACCAAACGUCUCUGCGUACGGGUGUUCCCCUACCACAACGAUGGCAUAUGAGAAAUCAUUCGACUUCACAAAGUCAGCAUCAGGAUUCUCCUUGUACACUACUUUGGUUUUAGGAUCCACUGUGUUCUUAAUGGCACUAAGAAUUGUGGUACCUGUUAAAGAGAAAAAUAAGUUUCUUACAGAGUUUAAUAGGUCAGUUUUUUCAGAGUCCCGACAGAUUUCAUAGGCAAACAUGUAUCAAGAGGAUAUUAUGUUUUAUGACAGCAAAAACAGAAGGAUCUUUGUUUACCUUCGGUGAGAUUGUUGCCACUUAAGCCCUGCCACUCAAUGGUCCACCCACCACACUGAUAACCAAGGUUAUCUGCAUGACUACCAGCUACAAGUAUUUUUGAUGCCUUCUUCGGAAGGGGAAGCAACAGCUCAUCAGCAGAUUUGCCGUUCUUUAGAAGCACUAGAGAUCUCCUCACAGCUUCCCUAGCUAAUUCUCUGUGUUCCUGUGAAAAUAGUAAUACAAAAAACCAGAUUAAGUUUCCUGCAUUGUUGUAGAAUGGUGAUAAAUUUACCAACGUCUACCUUACUCCCAAGUUGGUCGACCAGGCUGCGAUCAGCCAACGGUUCCUCAAAUAAGCCCAUGACGAACUUAACCCGCAAAAUUCUUUUUACAGCAUCAUCAAUUCUGCUCAUGGGAAUGAUUCCAUUUUUCACCAGGGAGGUUAGACCGUCAAUAAAUUCCGUAUAGUUGUAUGGAAUCAUGACCUGUAACAGGCAAUUAAGUAGGGGUUAGAAGACCAAACACAUCAUCAAGUUUAUGGAACUUAAGAAAGGAAAGCAACAGAGAUGUUAAGUACCAUGUCAAUUCCGGCAUUGACGCCUGCUUGAAUUGAAUAUGAGUAGUUGGCAUGAGGUGGAGACGUGAUCCUGUCAAUACCCUCCCAAUCUGAGAUGACAAAACCCUGAUAUAGUCCACAAAGUUUCACAGUGCUUUUAGCUUCUACUUAGGCUAUUGUAAAAUGGACAUAGUGCCGAAAAGAACAUCAGAGAGUCGUUUUUACCCUGAAAUGAAGAGUGUUCUUAAGGAAGCCAGUAACAAGAUCAUGAUUAGCAUGCAUCUUUACUCCAUUCCAGCUCGAGUAAGAUACCAUAAUAGUUGCAACCCCUUUGAUAAUUGAGUCAUAGUAGCCUGGCAUGUGGAUACUGAGCAAGCCGUGUCUGUUUAUCACAGUGUUAUUCUCGUUGAUGCCCCUAGUUGUUCCUCCAUCACCGACGUAAUGCUUUGCACACGCUGCAACCUUUUUACUGCCAACAGAAAUGGCGGAACAUGAACAAAACACCUUCGUAAAUUGGAUCACAAUCGUGUUGUUUGGAAUUUGACAAUGAUUGGUGAUCUUUCAGUAAAUUAAUGUGCCAUGAGAAUUGCAGUUGUAAAUAUGUCCUUUUCGGACAAAUCAAAAUGCAACAAUAUAGGGAUUAUAGGUGGUCUUUGUGACCACCGUAAAUAGCCUAGUGCCAAAGUAUGCUUUGACAAGCACUUUCCCUCUUUUUUUCCUACAAAAAGCUACCAAUUUUUCAAUGAAAGUGCUUAAACACACUCGUCAUCUCUCCCUUCCUCUAAGAGCCAACAUCACUGCACGCGAAGGAGAAGAAAAAACGACUAGUACUUGCAUUGCAUGUUGGAUUUAUGUGGACCAAUAGAACUAAAACCAAGUUAAACUUCAAGAUAUUCCAAAACUGUAACUUUCACAGGACCAUUAUGAUGAGUAUCAAUCAUUUUCGAGAACGUGGACCGCCACAUUAUGCAAAAGAGAAUAAGACCUUUCAAACUCUUGUAAUGUGUUAGAAAUGUUGGACCGUUUUAUCUUUGAUAGCACAAAUGGACCCAAAAAAAAGCAUAAAUCAAGCACAAGGCUAUGACAAAAAACUGAGGAAUUAAAACUCUUACUUUCCGCCCACAAAGGGAAUGCCCUUUCUAGAGUUGGCUGGUAACUCCCCUUGUAAUCCAGGUAUGAUCUCAGUCAUUGCUUGAACAAUUUUGUGAUCUUCACUGUAGCUUUCAUAACAUCGACCCCAUCUUGGAUCUCUGCAAACCUGCAAAGACAAAAUUAAGAGGAAGCACAACUUAGCUUAAAGUAACUUCUGUCGGUACUAAUCAGAUGUACAGUUUAUUUUAGUUACCGCUAUACAAGGUGCGAAGACAUAUGGAAUGCCUGUAGCUCUAGCUUCAAGUGCAGUUGCAGCUCCGAUCCUCUUAACAAGUACGGGGUCCCUGGUUGAUUUUAAAUACGAGGAAGUUGACAUUAAUACAUUCACUCUUAUGGUUUAAAGUUUGAACUACUAAGAGGACUAAAAUUUUACAGUUGAAGAAACAAAUUUCUCAAUUGAUCCCAUUUAGUUAAAGUAUCAUCAUAUACUCGAACAUAUAUACACCAACUUAUUUGUAUUUGGAAUUUUAAUUUGUCAGCACCAACGAAAAAUGAAAGCUUCAGUCAAAUUCUUGAUCAAAUGCCGGACACAUAAGACAAUUAUCGCAUCGUAGAACUCUUCAUUUAAUUGUAGAGAAAGGAAAGGUUGUUUUUUUCUCUCCAAAAUUCAAAAGGUUGACAAAAGAGACUAAGCGAAAUGUUGGUAUUCAAGGCAAAUCUACUUGCCUGGUAGCUCCAAGGCCAAUAUUGUGCGGAAAGAUUGUUGCUUUGUAGACGUUGUUGUGGCCAUGAACUGCAUCGAUACCAUAAAUCAUUGGAAUUCCAAGCCGGGUUGAUAAAGAACCUUUUUGAAAAUCAUUCACCAUGUUAAUCCAUGCUUCUGGAGAAGCCCUUUGUGCUGGAACGCUCCCACCCCCGCUUAAUAUACUCCCUGCCAAAAACAGAUUAAUUUCUUCUUCCUUAAAUCUAACUGAUCUGCAUAUGCAUAUGUGAUACAUUCCAUUCUUUCUGUAGUUACACAUGUAUAUAUAAUUUAUACACAGGCAGGACAGAAAGAAGAGUGAUGAUUACCAAUGAAGUAUUUCUUCAUCACCUCAGACGAAGCAACACUGCGGUCUAUCUGCACCAUUUGGCCAAUCUUUUCCUCCAACGUCAUCCGGCUCAAUAGAUCCUUGAUUCGAGUAUUCAGCGGCUGUUUGGGGUCUUUAUAUCUAAUAUGUUCUGCUUCUGCUACAGCUAUGAAGAAACAUGAGAGAAGAAGCCCCAUCAAGAAGAUGGGAGUUCUAGCCAUUUCCUGUUCCCAAAAAAAUUUACAGAAGAAUGUAAUGCACAAUUAGAAAGCCAGUUUGAGGAUGAGCUAUGGAACAUUGUGAACCGAAAUUCGAAAACAUAAAAAAGGCCUAAAAUUAGAACAUCAAACAGUUAAAAGAUGAACAAAAUUUGAAGAAAAGUAUUAAGGCAACAAUGGAAAGGAAUCACAAUAUAAUGAACCUCAAGCAUUCAAGCACCAAUGGAAGAUUAGUUGCAUGGUGGAAAUUAUAGAAAGUUACCACUUUUAUUAACAAAAAAAUGCUGCACCCGAAGUUAAUCCCAGAGAAAGGAAUCAGAAGGACCUUGUAGCAAAAUGCAGAAUCAAAGAGAACCCUUUUCCAAGCAAUGAAAAAAAGGGUAAAAAAAGUUUACUAUUCUUCAAGUGACAAUCACAACACAUGCAUGUUGCUCCUUAUUAACCACCAAAACACUUAAGAAAUUUCGCUGGCCUUUUUUUUUUGUGACUGAAUGGAACUAAAAUCUGAAACCCAACAACUAAGAGAGAGGUAACUGAAUCACAACUGAGUGAAGUAUUUCAUUUCAUCUUUCUGGAAACUAAUAAAUUCCCAUUUGUCAAAAGAAACUAGUAGCAUGUGGAAGUGGAACUUACAGAGAAGCAAUGGAGACCCGAUACUCCAAUAGGCAAUGAGCAGAGAGAGAGGUUGGCAAUGAGCUCUGCUGCUUUGUGGAAGAGAGAGAGAGAAGUUGAGUUGGGACUUGGGAUUUGGAAAGCAAUGUGAGGCAGAAAAUGGAACUUUAUAGAAAAAAAAAAUUAGGUGCUAGUUGACUGAAAAUUUGGAUGUGAUGAUAUAUUUGUCAAUUUCUGGAAAAAAAAAUAUUUGUCAAUUCGAUAGCGGGCAGAGAAAGGUGACGCAGAGAGUUUUACUGGAAUCCAAAUUUGUUUAUUUGCCUUUCAUUUCGCUUUCAUGGAUGAACUCAUAAUUCAUCAUGCUUAUCUUUACUUUAUUGGUGAGAUUAGCACCCGCAUUAGUGAUGCUGCUGGUGUAGGUGAAUUAAGAGACAAGGAUUGUCUGCCCUCCCAUUUUCGGUGCUCUCUCGUGCCCUUUUGUUUGUGUGGUCACGGUUAAAUCACGUUAAUAUUUUAUAUUACUAUUCAUUUUUAUCUUAUUAUUUCUAUAAAAAAUAAUAUAAAAUGUUGACGUGGCUUAAUUGUGACCACACAAAACAGGAGGGCACGGAAGGGCACCAAAAAUGAGAGGGCAGACAAUUCUUGUCUGUAUUAAGAAGGCCCCACUGGCAAUAAAACUGGUGGUUUUGCUUGUUGACUAUUAUUCCAAAUUCUUCUUCCUGUCAAACUUCUAAAAAGAAAGAAACAACUGUUCCAACUUUUAACAUUUGUUUUUGGCUUCCUGCCUCAUCCACAAAUUACAGCCUUACACUACACACGCAUGCAUUGCGUUACAGAGAUCGAUAUCGCUCGAAAACGGCUAGUGGGGUUUUAGAAAUUGAGGAAAGGCGAUGAGAUUGAGGGAGGCGGCACAAGAGAGAGAGAGAGUACCCUUUUGAAUUAGAGUCUUCUCUCCUCUUACUGGGUAUUCCCAAAUCCCUACUCGAUUUCAAUAUAAAAUUAUAAACUUACAUGAAAAUAGCAAAAACAAUUAUUUUCUCUUUAAAUUUGUGUACUCUAAAUACCCAUCAAUCAUCAAGAACAGAGACAAUUAUUCCAUUCUAGGUAACCUUAAAUACUACGAGCAUUAGAUAGCCUGUCUUAAUUUGGAUUUGGAAGUUUUUCAUUUCCUUUCCAAUUUCUAAUGAAUGAAAAAACAUAAAAGAGAAAGAGAUAAAAAAUAAAAAAAACUCGUUUGGAAAUGUUUUUAAAGUAACUGGAAGCACUUUGGGUAAAAUUAUUUUUGGAUUCCAAAAGCAUUAGUUAUGUGCUUCUUCCAGGAAGCACUUUAAAUGCAUGUUUUUCCUUCCUUAUACCUAAAUUUGUAUGGAAGACAUUAAAUAUUACAAGUAUUGGAUGACUUGAAUUGGUUUGGAUUAUUGCUUUUUUCGGUAGCUAAAUCAUCUCUCCCGAUGUUGCACUUAUAUAUAAAUAACUAAUUGAACACACUUAAUCAAGGAAAUACAUAGCAUCCAAAAAAGAAACACAACCAAUUCAAUUUUAUUUUAUUUUCGGGAAAAAAAAAAAAAAACAAAGAAACAACAAUGGUUUGUUUGAUUUUCCUUUAAACAAGCAGCUAGCAAAGUGAUCGACCAAUUGGAAAUUUUCAUAUAUAUUAUUAGUCACGAAUUCGUUGUGAUUAUAGCUUCUUCAUUCGUCACGCAUUGUACGUAUCUUGAGGCCAAACUGCAUGCACAAUUUAGCCAUGCAAAUCAAGCACUUUCAUACGUGACACGACACCCAACCUAGCUAGCUAUAUAAAUACUACCGUACAUAACGAUGCAAAGUGCAAACUGGUCAUGGCCUUCUUCGCAAGAAAUGCACUGCUGCUAAUGCUGCUUAUGUUGAUUCUAAUUAUGUCUGAUGCAGUAACUGUUGUGAUCGAAAAUUAUUUGUGGGAUCAAUCGGGCGACUCGCCACUGAAAGUUCACUGCAAAUCCAAAGACGAUGACCUUGGUGUCCAUGCCGUCCCCCUUGCUGACUCCUACGAAUUUAAGUUCCAUCCAAACAUAUGGCGGACCACGCUAUUUUAUUGCAGCUUUGAGUGGCAGGGCCAACUUCACCAUUUCGAUAUAUACGACCAAGGAAGGGAUGGAGGUUGUGUACUAGACGACAGCGUUUGUUUAUGGCGGAUACAAGUGAACGGUCCGUCCAGGUUCAACGGCUAUACUGGCUCAUAUGAUCUUCUGUAUGCAUGGAAGGACUAGUUGUUUCAAAAUCAAACAUUCUGGGGACAACUCUGUUGCAAGAUACCCCAAGUGGAAAUGUGGAUCUUUACCGUUUCGAGAUAUAUAAGGAAAAAGGAGGGAAAAAUAAAAAGCAAAUCUAUCGUUGUGCUCUUUCUUGCAUGUGCAGUUAAGUUAGCAAAAGUAGUGUGCUCCUUUUUCUGUAUAACCUAAAUUUGAAUCCUCAUUUGUAAUUUGUAUUAGAUUAAAUAUAAUUUCAAUUGAAUAAAUAAAGUGGGAUAUAUUAGUCACCAAUUUUGUUGUGAUCAAUAACAAGUAAAAACUUAUUUCCUAGCUUCUACUGUAACUAGAAUUUCUUAAUUCGUCACACUAAUAUAUUAUUAUUGUGAAAGGAAAUUAUAUAAGCAAAGCCAAAAGAUUUAAUUAAUUAGCAAGUAGCCCUCCACCUCAAUAGUGAAGAAGAGUGUUGCCCUUGCACCAUGACAUGAGUUCCAACCCAUCGACGUCCUAAUCUAACAUCUCUAACAAAUUUAUUGUUUGACAAAAGAUUUAAUUAAUUAUGAUCGUGCCACCACUAGCUAUGAGAAAUCCUAAUAGAUUGUAAAAAGACAUAUAUAACUUGCACCUCAAGCAAUAACUUCGAAUCAAGUCUCUUAGUAAAGGAUGACGUAAGACGCGCGCAGAGCGUCCAUAGAAAAAAGACAUUUAACUUGCACAUUAAAACCGAAAAAGAAGAGUAGCUACAUGAUUUUUCUAGUUGAAUUUUUUGGGUGUUGUAGUGAGCCCAAAUCCAAAGGGGAAGAGAGGGUCAUAAUGUGCAUCCCCAACAUUCAUAGGUAGUUGAUCAACCGUUUUGAACCAAGUUCUAGAAAGCUUGCCAGUGAAGCCGUAGUCACCAAAUAAAACAUCAGCCACCCCUUGUUAGUACUAGAAAUUAGUAAGUCAAAAGCCGAGGAAUGAAAAUUCUUACUUUCCUGCUACGAAGGGAAUGCCCUUUUCAGAGCUGGUAUCUCCCCUUGUAAGCCAGGUAUGAUCUCUGUUAGAAUUUCUUUGUCCCACAUCGGCCAGAAGGAUUGAGAACAAGCCAUUUAUAUAGAAUUACCUCACUCUAACUAACACCGAGGCUUUUUGUAUUAAAACCCCACACCUGACGGAUUGAGAAGGUGGCCAAGUGGGGACAGUACCGGUGUUGUUGGAGUGGGCCCAUGGCCCGUUUACUUGAAAUUUAAGAUGGUAUCAGAGCCAGGGGACGGGUCCGUACAUCCACGUGAACGGGUGGGUCCCCUUUGGCCCCGCACAAAUGGGUGAGCCCCAACUUGGCUCCACAUGGUUGCCGAUGUGUGGAACUCCACGUGUGACCCAUAAAAUGGGGUCUCAAGUGCGGGGGAGUGUUAGAAUUCCUUUGUCCCACAUUAGCCAGAAGAAUUACCCCAUUCUAACUAACACCGAUGCCUUUUGUAUUAAAACCCCACACCUGACGGAUUGAGCAGGUGGCCAAUUGGGGACAAUAUCGGUGUUGUUGGAGUGGGCCCAUGGCCCGUCUACUUGAAAUUUAAGACAUUGCUUGCACAAUCUUGGGAUCUUCACUGUAGCUUUCAUAACAUCGACCCCAUCUUGGAUCUCUGCAGACCUGCAUGGACAAAAUCAAUAUGAAGUUCAGUGCCAGCAUAAAUUGACUUGUGUUCAUAUCAAUCAUCAGAUAUAUACAGUUUAUUUUAGUUACCGCUAUACAAGGUGCAAAGACGUAAGGAAUGCCUGUAGCUCUAACUUCAAGCGCAGUUGCAGCUCCGAUCCUUUUAACAAGUUCAGGAUCCCUAGUUGAUUCAUCUUGGAUCUCUGCAGACCUGCAUGGACAAAAUCAAUAUGAAGUUCAGUGCCAGCAUAAAUUGACUUGUGUUCAUAUCAAUCAUCAGAUAUAUACAGUUUAUUUAAGUUACCGCUAUACAAGGUGCAAAGACGUAAGGAAUGCCUGUAGCUCUAACUUCAAGCGCAGUUGCAGCUCCGAUCCUUUUAACAAGUUCAGGAUCCCUAGUUGAUUUUAAGUUCGAUCAAGUUGAUAUCAGUAUAUUUACUCCUUGAAUUUCAUAUGGGUUGAUCUCUUAAUACGACUAAAAGUUAAGAGUCGAAAAAACAAAUUUCUCUAUUGCUAAUAAAUUUUAGCACAAUAUCUACUUUAAAUUCAAUCAAUAUUACUUUGAGACUAGGAUUACAAAAUAAGUUACAGCUCAGUGAUAUGUUAGCAAUGGAGGACAUCUACUUGCCUGGUUGCUCCAAGGCCAACAUUGUGAGGAAAGAUUGUUGCUUUGUAAACAUUAUUGUGGCCAUGAACAGCAUCGAUACCAAAAAUAAACGGAAUUCCAAGCCGAGUUGAUAAAGAACCCUUCUGAAGAUCAUUCACCAUGUUAAUCCAAGUUUCUGCAGAAUCCUUUUGUGGCGGAACAUUCACAACCCCUCUUAAUAUACUUCCUGCCCAAGACAAAUUUCCUCUACCCUUAAAAUCCAACUAAUCUUCAUAUACAUGCAGAAGGACUGCUUCCAUUCUUUCUAUAUAUAUUUUAUGCAGAGACGAGAGAGAGAAUAGUAAUGUUUACCAAUGAAGUGCUUCUUCAUCACCUCAGGCGAAGCAACGCUGCGGUCUAUCUGCACCAUUUGGCCAAUCUUUUCCUCCAACGUCAUCCGGCUCAGUAGAUCCUUGAUUCGAGAAUUCAAUGGUUGUUUGGGAUCUUUAUAUUUAAUGUAUUCUGCCUCUGCAAUAGCUAUGCAGAAAACUAAAAGAAACCCCAACAAGAAGGGAUUCCUAGCCAUUUCCUGUUCCAAAUAUUUACACAAGAAUGUAACGCGGCGCUCAAUUAGAAAGCCACUUUUGAGGAUGAAUGUAUAACAGCAACAUCACAAAUUCACAACCAAUACUAGAAAAGAAAACAGGUCUAAAACUAGAACAUGAAAAGUAGAAAGCAACCAUCAUAUAAUUUUCAAGAAUUCAGGCAGCAAGGGAAUAACAGUUUGCGCGGUCGGGGUGCGACAGAAAAAAGAAAAACUGCAGCAAAAAUUAGACUCGGAGAAAGGAAUCAGAAGCACCCUUUGAUCAAAAUAGUAGAAACAGAAGAGAAUCCAUUUUUCAAGCAACUAAAGACAAUAAAACAAGUGAGAAGCACAAGACACGAAUAGUUUGAGCUCCUCAACAUUGCUCCUUAAUCCUCCUUCCCCACCAAAACUCGAAAUAAAGUUCGUUUAUCCCCCUUAGCAUCUGAUCGUAAAUUACCGGUAACGAAAAUCUGAAACCGAACAAGAGACGAACUAAAAGUUUCCCUUUUCCAGAAACAAAAAAUGGGAGUAAUUAAAGAAGUUGCAUGUACUAAAAAGUGAGAAGUGGGAACUUACAGAGGAGUAAUGGAGUGGAGAGGCAAUGAGCUUUAUCUGUUCUGUGUUGAACUUGAAGGAAUAGUGAGUGAGUGAGGGAGUGGAGGGCAGAAGAGAGUUGAGUGAAAAACGUGAAGUUAUAGAUGGACAAUUUGACUCUCACUUUAUUGAAACAGGACACGGACUUCUUGUUGGCUUCUUCAAUGAACAAUGAACUGACUUUGAUGGAUAAUAUUAACUGUUUGCAAUUUCUACUCAAGAUAGGACGUAUUGGAGUUAACGAAAGACUUUGUGCAAAAACGAGCGGAGUCACGUUUUAGAAUUCAUAUAGCCGAUUCUAUUUAGUGGUAUAAUGUUUGUUUGUUGUUGAUGCAAAUUCUACUCAUGUACCAAAAAGCAUUACAUAUAUGUAUCUUACAAGAAUUAUAGAUACACAUGCUUAUUAAUGUUACUUCACUUGCUUUGCCUAAGCAAAAGCAGUUGAUUAUCCAAACGUUACAAAACAGAAGCUUAAGCUUGAUUAAUUAAAAACAUGAUGAAAUAAUCAAUCUCACAAAAGGCGAUCAGACAACGACGGAAGCCGUCGAAUGAAGUUCAAAGCCGGCGACGGCAUCCGAUCACGGAAUAUCGGAUGACGGAGAUAAUAGAACCCAAACGCCAUCGCCACCAUCUUCGACGGCACCACGUACAGUAUCAUCGCCACCACCAAACACAACACCACAAAGAUCCCCGUCGCCCGCGGAUCCUGCCACGUCACCAGCGCCUGCACUCGUUCCCCUUGCGUUGCAAAAUCUCCCAGCACGGUCUGCACGCGUGCCCCCAACAUCCUAAGCUUGUCGUACCUCGCCCGCACCACCUCAUACGGCCUGUUGCUCGGCACCGCAUCAAACUCCUCGUCCAGCUCGUCCCGGUCAACGUUGUCCGCCAGCGAGAGCUUCGGGUCAAAGUGCUGGAGUGGGGCCCGAGAGCGAAACCUGUAGUUCCACGCGCCAAUCACAAACACGUAAAACAACAGGGUGGGCACGAUCAGAUCCGGGAACCAAACGAGCAGCACCAGCAGUGCGUGCACAAGAAUCGUUGCCAUCGGUUUCUUCCAAGAACGCGUGUCGUUUAUCCACGCUACGACAUCCACAACCCCUGCUACGACAUUGAUGAUCCGGAAAUAAUUGGCGCGCACUUUCCGCAUGCUGAAUCCCUGCGAAUCCGCGUCCAGCAUGUAAAUCACAACCUCGCGCCCGAGCGGCGGUUCCGAGCGAGACAGGUGUGCGGCGACGAUCUUAACCGCCGCCCUGCGCAGUAGGUCCUGUUGCAUCACACCUAGCGGCUUUAUGUGGUGCAUCAACGGCAGUGAAGGCUGCGAGUACGCGUGGAUCAAAUCCAACGUCGGACACACUCGAACAAACCGUAUGGCCACCUCCACCUCCCCCAUUUUUUUCAAACCGGCGGGAGACAAAAGCAACAGCGGAUACGUAUUUCUGUAUACUCUACCCGUAGCCAGCGUCGAAAUACGCAAGCGGAGCUUCCCGAUACGAAAAUCGGGACGCGUGGCAUCUGUCGAGCCGUCGAUUUUGAAUCCCGGUCCAGAGCUAUCAAAAACGCCGAUGCUCAACACCGUACACGGAUCGUAUACUUUAAACGUAUACUGCUCGUUCCAUUUGGGCUCCAAGCUAUCGCACACGGCCCGUGUCCGUACCCAUUUGGAUCCAUAUUUUGCCACGCAAUACGCAUCCGUACAUCCCUUACCGCUCACCGUCUUGACAGGUAUCAAGUUCUUGCACCCGAUGACGCCGAGCUCGACGGUGCCCAGCGGCGGCUUCCAGAGCUGCCUCGCGGUGGGCCGGUAGUCGCUGCACACGUACGCUGCCUCGUCCAUCACGUGAUACCCGCCGUCGAAACAGAGGCGCAGGUGCAUUCUGCCUCUGUACACCGUCCUCUUCUUCUGGUCUUCCUCGCCUGGGCUCUCCAAUGAGAACCAUCUCGAAGCCACUUUGCGGUCGUCGACGCGUCGUUCGAUGGCGGUAAGGGGUAUUGUAGCCACCCCCAAUGUGACCGGUCCUUUCGCUAGCCGAUUCUCUACAGUGAAAAUUAAACGAUCGCUGAACGGCUCCGCGGCUACGAACAUCAAGUCUUGGUUCCACGACAGCGUGCCGUUUUGGGUGACUGCGGGGUCGGUCUUGAGGGACUGGAAUCCGAGCUGGGCUUUGACUUGGACAGAUGACUCCGUCAACGACGGCGUCAUGGGGAGAACGUCUUGGGCUUCGAGGACUGUUGCUCGGAGAUACCACAGCUUCGGCGAUUGGUAGACUUUGGCUCGCGCGUUUGGGUUACCGGCUGUAUCGGUCUUCCACGCGUCGGGAAACGAAUCGUCCGCCUGAGUUCCCAUCCACGUGGCGAGCAUCAGGUCGCCGUUCAUGCGGGCCCCGCCGCCCUCCAGCCUGUACCACUGCGGGGCCAAGGGGCUGUCGGGCGGGUCUCUCAGGGGAAUUUCCGUCACGUCGAAACAGAUUCCACCGAGGAAGUGAUGCCCGGAGGCAACCGAGGCGGUCGCGGGGUCAAACAUGGGCGGGUCCCACACUGAAAUUUCGAGGAUGGAGGCGUCGGAUUGGUCGGGGGAUUGGCGGGCGAAGGCGAAGGUCUGGUCCCACUCGAAGCAUUGGGUUUUUCUGGCGGGUUUGGACGUGAUAUGGUGGUUGGCAGUGGAGAUUUUAACGAUCGGACUGCCGCUGGAGGGAAUGAAGCGCGCCUUCACCACUCGGACGAAGAGGUAGUGCAUCUUCUCCACCAGAUCAAACGACGGCCGAUCCAUCGACAUGCUUUCUGUUGGCUCCAGCUGCGACGUAUAGUUCAUUACUGGUGGCCUUGGCAUUGGCUGUGGGCCGUUGAUUCCAUGGAAUUUGACAUCUGGAACUGAUUUCGAUACGGCGGCUCCAAUCAUCUCUAUUUCGGGUUCACGUUGCAUGGCUGCUUCAGGUGGUGGCGGCGGCGGCGGAUCCCCUUGAUCAUGAUUUGCAUCAUCAGUGGGUGGUGGUGGUGUUGACGUCGGCCCCGGUGGAGGAUCAGACUGUACAUCUUCAGGAGCUACAGUUUCCUGUGGUGGCACCACCUCAGUCGGUGGUUCUUCGGCGGGCUUCUCACCUUCCGGUGGCGGUGCUUGUUCUGCUUCCGGUGGUGGGUCCGCCUUAGUUUCCUUCUCGCCUGGUGGUGGGGUUGAGUCAGAUUCUGGUGGCGGCGGCGCCUCCGACGACGGAGGCGGUGCAGUUUCAGCCUUUGGCUCUUCCGCUUGAGGCGGCGGUGUUGGUGGUGCAGGCGGCGGGACAACCUCAUCGACGUAAUAAAUCUUCAAGCCAAUUUCACCUUGAAUCCAACUAAAGAAGCUCUUCUUCUCCAAUGGGAAAUAAAUCAAAGCCUCCUCGCCUUUCUUGACAAACUGAGUGGAACUCAGUCGGAUCCUCCCGAGGAAGUUGUUCCUCCGGGUGGGUCCGUAGUUCUUGUCGUGGUGGACAUCGAGCUCCAGCACAUCCCCAAAAACAUCGGAAGGCUUGCCAACGUUGAACUCGAGCAACUCGUUCCACACGGGGUUUAGGUCUCGUAUCUUUGUCUGCGUCCGCUUCCGCUGCCCGUAGUAGUCCAUCACCACGUACGGGCUCGACGUCCCGUGCCCGUCUUUCGGCGACAGAUUUCGAGCAUCGACAACCUCAACUAUCAGUUUCCGUACAGUAGCCAUAACGUUGGUUCUUGAGUGAUCAAAAUGUCACAGAAAAUGUGUAGCUAGCUUUGGUACUGUAGAGUUUCUUAGCUAGCUACUAUCAUACUCCACUUUCAAGUAAGAGAGAAGAGGCAUCAUGGUUAUGGAGAGAAGCUAUAAAUAAUGUUAAGUAAAGUAUGAGGGGAGAUAUUCCAUCCCGUGACCGAUUGCAUAUCUCGAAUUCUCUCAUCACUUCAUGUAAUGAGAGAUAAAAAGUACAAUUGAUUACACUUGAGAUUUUACCGUAAAAUUGACGUUUCUUAACUUUUUUUUUUUUUUUUUUUUUUUUUGGUGUAGCAAAACUAUUAAGUAAUGCAUGCGAGCAAGGUUUUUAUCAUAUCGAUUGUAUAUUUUCAUCACUCUACUUCUCUCAUCACAUUACAUGAGAGAGAUGCAACUGGUUACACCUAAAAUUUGCCGCAUGACAGAUAUGUUUCUUAACUUCUUCAUCCUUUACGUAUUUAAUUCACUACUUUUUGAAUAUAUAUACAUAAAUAUGUCUUUUAAUUCUUUUGGUGCAGAAAAAAUGGAAAAGAGAACGAUAAAUGGGAAACAGAGGUAGUGGGAUUCCAGUUGGGUGGGCAAGUAAAGGAUAAAAAGAUUGGGAGGAGGAGGAGAUAGGGAGAUAAGAAAACUAAAGGUGCUUAACUUCAUCCUCAAGAAGCUUUUAUUAUUUUUUUUCUUGAUGUGUAAGGAGCUUUUAGACUAUCUAAUUUCUUUUGCUUGUUAUUAGGAAAUACUUUUCUUUAUUAAACUCAAAGAUUCUGUCUCUCAGAUAUAAGCCCUUUCCUUUUGGCCAAUACCACAGACAUUAGAGGCACACGCUUUUGACACAUAUUUACACUUAUUUUGUAGGGCUCACUUUGUAAUAUUUUUCAACAAUUCAUACUGUCUAUUAUGAACAUUUUAAUGAUUUUAAUUUUACCUAAUUUUUUGCAAGAAUCAUUUAUGAACAACUUUAAUUAUUGAAAUACAUUAAGAAAUGAAUUCAACAAAAUAUGUGUCAAAAUGUGUGAUAGAGGAUCCUCACCGGAUCUUCCAAUCACAUCCGUUCAUCGUACAUCGUGCAGUCAGUUUUUAUCAUGUACUGUUUAUAUUCAAUUUUAAAUAAAAAAAUUAUAAUAAUUUCUAAUUGUACAAUUUACGAUGAUCGGAUGUGAUUAGAGAAUUUCCAGAUCCUCCUGGAAAAAUGUGUUUCCGGAUCUAAUAUAUAUAUAAAGUAAUGGACAAGCUUUUUUUUC
rnacentral:lncRNA from 1 species